AAAGAAGAAGAAAACUGAAUAAAAGGAAAAUAAACUAAAGUAAAAAGAAACGCCGUUGCCGGGGAUCGAACCCGGGUCACCCGCGUGACAGGCGGGAAUACUCACCACUAUACUACAACGACUUGUUGAAAUGAAAUGAAGAUUUAUUUUAUUUAUCUAAUAUUUCAUGAAUAUAUGUUAGCAAUAGAAUGCUACAUAUUUCUUUUCCAAUCAAAUCUUUAAACGGAUUGAUUUUAUUUUUAAUAUAUAAAAUACAAAAUAGAAAAUUUGUAAAAAUAAUAAAUUUGAUAAAAUAUUUAGAACAUAUAGCAAAAUUUUGUUAUAGUUUAUAAAUAUUUUAAUUUACAUUGUUGUUUUUUUAAGAAGCCUCUACAAAAUAUUUGAAAUAAUAGGAUUUUCGCUCUUAAAUCCUUACUUAAGCACUUUUCUCGUCUUUUUAGUUAAGCUAAUAUAUUUGUGAUUGCAUUAAUAUAUUUUUCACAAAGGAAAUAUAAUGUUUGAGGGUUAUUUGAUAGGAUUUCUAAAUUUUAAGAAUUAGAAUUGGUAUUUGAUGUACAUGAUUUAGAAGUCUUAGUUUCUAAAGCUUAUAUUUGAGUUAUUAUGGACCAUCUAUAGCCUAUGUUGUAUUGUGGAUCAAUUUUUAUGAUAAAUUAAAAUGUUUCAUCUAUCCAUUUUAGAAUGAAUUUUAUAUUAUAUUUAUAUGUUUUGUAUUUUCAAAUCAAUUUUUUUGUUUGUAAUGAAUGACGGUGGUUUUAGAUUUAUUGUGACAAACCAAACUAUAAUAAUUUAUCAUAUACUCAUUUUCGUGGAUAAAAAAUCUAAUUAAAUGUGUCGUUUGAAUGUACUAGAGAAAAAAAAUAGUAUUUUAAAAGUUAUUUUUUAUUUAGAUUGUUUUAAUUGAAUUUUCUACAAAUAAGCUGGUAAAACACCUCAAUUUUCACCGGUAGAUAUCUCAUAUUGAGCGUAACAACAAAAACUCAAGGGAUAAAAUCUAAAAUUGAAUGUGACAAAAAAAAUGUAGUUGGAGGGGUUUGGUCAACCUCAUUCUUGGGCUUCCCUUUUUCAGUUCGACCUCCCUUUCCAAGGGCUUUUUGUAAGUUUAAAUCCCAACAUUAUAUAAACAAUAAAAGCUCAAGUCUUUCAACCAAAUAAUUUUCACAAUAAUAUGAAUUAAAGUAAUAUACUUUGAUCCAAGAAAUUGUGUUUUCCUCUGGGCGUUCCUUUAAAACUUGAUUAGGAUGAUGAAAAGAAAAAGUUACUUAAUGAGUUAGAGUGAAGAUCAAUCCUAGAGUUUCAUUUGUAUACAUACCGUCUCAUAUGGGUGUUUAAUUAAAAUAUGUUUUUUACUUGAUUGAUUGAAUAAAAUAAUACAAAAGAUAAAACAACAUAUAUGUGUGGAAGGCGAUCAUUUCACUCAAGGGUGUUGCUUAGUUAUGCACUUGCUCUUUGAUGGGCUAAUUCGUGGAGUUUCAUCUUUCUUUUGAGCCCAUUUUCUGAUUGGUUUCCCGAUGUGUAGGAUAAUAUGGAAGUAUUGUUGGUUAUUAUCUUGAAGGAUGAUUUGGUUCCUUUUUAGUUUAAAAAGUAGUAGGCUUGAGAAUGGGUGAUUUCUAAUUGUCCUUGGUAUAUGGAGGGCACUCCUAUUUUGAUGAGGAAGUAGGUUCCAAACAUUAUUUCUAAGUCCUUUGUAUUUGAUUGGGUGCCCAUUUGAGUGAAGUUGCUCAAAGUUUCUUGAGAAUUGUAGACUCCUAAGUGUGUUGAGUGUUUUGUGUGGCCAAGAGUAUUUGAUUUAGCAAUAUGUAUGGAUAAGACUAUCUAAGAGUUGUGAAUUGUCUACCCAUCUCUUGUGUUGAGGUAAGAGUAGUGAUUUUCCAUGUGUUUUGUGACAAUAUAGUUGCGAACAUAGAAUAUGCUUGGAUGGUGUACAAAUGUGCUUAUUGGGGUGAUGGUUUUGGCCUAUCUAUUGAUAAGCGUGGGGGAGAGGGUUGAUAAGGCACUUUUCUUUUGUACAUUUAGCUCUUAUUAGUGGUGAUUUGAUUCUCACCACUAAUUAGAGCCUAGCUAUAGGGUUGUUGUUCUUUUAUUCAAGGGGCAAUUAGUCUUCUAUGAUGGGAGGUUAGGGUUAGGUUCUUACGUUAGUCUUAUGGCUCACUUGGUGGUGUUUAGAACGUCAAAUUUACAUAAAGACACUAUAAAUUAUUGUAUUCUUUAGCGUUGUUCUAAUGAUGUCUCUGAUUUAGUGGUCAAUUACUGUUAUGUGCUAACGAGUCUUAACUCUUAGCAAACUUUUAAGACUUGUAAAAGGAUUUAGGAUAUUAAUUUAUUUUUUUGUGAUUUUAUUGAUUUCUUCAUGCUCAAAAGUUGUAAGUUUUUUAUAUGUUUUGUUUCUUCUAUUUUGGUUGUAGGAUUAGUUCUCUUUAGUUUGUGCUCUAACCUCAAAUUAAGAGGAAUUAUAUAUUAUAUAUUACGUAUAUCACCUUUAACCAAAUAAUUUGAGAAAUUUUCGUGUUUUUUAAUUUUUAUUUUUGGGAAAUCUUCAUUUUGAUGGAUCAAUAAUGGAUUUAAAGAAAAAAAGAAAGAAAGAAGAAUGCUAAUGUAAUCAAUUUGUGUGACAUUAGAGUUUCCUCUAAAUACCAAAACAGAUUUAGAAUUUGGAGCAUCAACGAAUUUUGUUCAUCUUCUUCUUCUUCUUCACCAGUUUGCAUUUCUAAUAAUGUCUUGAACUUUUCACUGUAACUUAGAAACUGAAGGCUGAAAACUUCCUCUUAGAAUCCUUCGUCGGUUUCACAAUCUCAGGAAAGCGAAAAAAUUGCUCUGAAUUUUCCGUAGCAGAAGGAAAUUGAAUGAGUCUGAAUCAUCAUUCGGAGUCUUUUGGGGUUUUAAAGGAUUUGCAAUGAAUUAUUUCAGGAAAUUCCAUGGAGAAGGAUGAUGCAGGGACUUCACCACCAACAGCAGCAACUAGCGGCCCUUCUCAACGUAGCUUUGCGGAAGGAUGAUCCUAAUCCCACUACCUCAAGUUCCAGUACCGCCGGUGCCACUUCCGACGAGGACGACUCUGCUAGAAUUGCAGCUAUCAAUUCAAUCCAUCGUGCCAUUGUUUAUCCUCCUAAUUCGCUUCUUGUAACUCACUCCGCCACUUUCCUCUCCCAGGGCUUCUCUCAGCUUCUAUCUGAUAAGUAAGACCUCCUCUUCUGGUUAUACAUUGCUGGAGUUUCUUCUCUUGAUUUUUCUGUACCGUUUUUCACUUUGUGGUGCGGAAAGAUCGUAUGGUAUUUUUGGCUUCGAGCUUAGAGUGCAUAUACAUUUUUUCAUUGUUGCCCUUUUUUUUCUAUCUGUGUGGAUUACUCAUGGUCUCUCUAGAAAUGUGCUUAUUAACGAAUUGGAAUUUUGAGCAAAUCCAUGGUGACUGGGCCGCCAACCUAGGAUUUAAUGCUAUAUGGGUUUCUUUAGUACCUAAAUGUUGGAGGGUCAAACGAGUUAUUCGAGAGAUUAGUUGAGGUGCGUCAAACGAAUUGUUCGUGAGAUUAGUUGAGGUGCGUCAAAAGAGGUGUUCAUGAUAUUAUUUGAGGUGCGUGUAAGUUGGCUUAGACACUCGUAAAAAAAGAACGGGAAUUUUGAGCAAGCUGGGGCAAUUAUCCUUUGUGUUGAACUCAAAUUGAAAAUUUUGGUUCUAAGAAAUAUACUCAAAUCUCAUUUUCUUCAAAAUUUUUGGUACUUUUGCUAGUAGUAUAAUGGGAAAAGUAGGUUUUUGCCUAUUGUUUCCAGUUCUUGUUUUAUAUACGUAAAACGGGGAUCCAUAAUUUUUUUUACUGAAUGUUAUUAUUGAUGCAACUAUUUCUUGAUUCCACAUAUUAGGUCAUACCCAGUGAGACAGGCGGCAGCCAUUGCUUAUGGAGCUCUCUGUGCUGUCUCAUGUUCAAUCACUGCAUCACCAAAUGGAAGGCAAAAUAGUGUACUACUUGGAACUUUGGUUGAUCGAUUCAUUGGUUGGGCAUUGCCAUUGCUUAGCCAUGUCACUGCAGGUGAUGCAACCACCAAGUUGGCAUUGGAGGGAUUGCAAGAGUUCAUUAACAUUGGAGAAGCUGGUGCUGUGGAGAGAUUUGCUUUGCCAAUCCUUAAAGCAUGCCAAGUACUUCUUGAGGAUGAGAGAACUCCCUUGUCUUUAUUACAUGGACUAUUAGGAGUUUUAACUUUGAUUUCUUUGAAGUUUUCUAGAUCCUUCCAACCUCAUUUCCUUGAUAUUGUUGAUCUGCUUCUAGGUUGGGCAUUAGUUCCAGAUCUAACCGAUUCAGAUAGGCACAUCAUUAUGGACAGUUUCUUACAGUUUCAGAAGCACUGGGUGGGUAAUUUGCAGUUUUCUCUGGGGUUAUUGUCAAAGUUCUUGGGUGACAUGGAUGUAUUACUUCAAGAUGGGAGUCCUGGGACGCCUCAACAAUUCCGCAGGUUACUUGCAUUACUUUCUUGUUUUUCAACAAUUCUUCGGUCUGCUGCUUCCGGGUUGUUGGAAUUGAACCUUCUUGAGCAAAUAAGUGAACCACUUUCGAGAAUGCUUCCUCAGUUGUUGGGAUGCUUAUCUAUGGUUGGACGUAAAUUUGGAUGGUUGGAGUGGAUUGAUAAUUUGUGGAAAUGCUUGACUCUUUUGGCAGAAAUAUUACGUGAGCGUUUUUCCACCUAUUAUCCACUUGCUAUUGAUAUCCUAUUCCAAAGUUUGGAAAUGACCAGAGCUAACCGUGUAGUGAAAGGUCAGAAGAUUACGUUUCUUCAAGUUCAUGGUGUUUUGAAAACUAAUCUUCAAUUAUUGUCCCUUCAAAAAUUUGGGCUGCUGCCAUCAUCUGUGCACAGAAUACUGCAAUUUGAUGCACCAAUAUCUCAGCUUAGAAUGCAUCCAAAUCAUUUGGUAACAGGUAGUUCUGCUGCCACUUAUAUAUUCUUGCUCCAACAUGGGAAUAAUGAAGUUGUUGAACAAACGGUGGCAUUAUUAAUUGAAGAGCUAGGUAUGUUCAGUGGCUUGUUAGAAAAAGGUUUAGAUCAAAGAGGUAUCAAUGGUAUUCUUGAUUCUCAAUUUUGUUCAACUAUGGAUUUGUUCGCCCUAAUUAAGUUUGAUUUGAGAGCCUUAUUGACAUGUACUAUCUCUAGUGGAACUAUUGGUCUGAUAGGCCAAGAAAACGUUGCUUUCACAUGUCUAAAAAGGUCAGAAAGAUUGAUUUCCUUCAUUAUGGAAAAACUGAAUCCUUUUGACUUUCCACUUCAGGCUUAUGUGGAAUUGCAAGCUGCUAUCCUCGAUACAUUGGACAGGUUGACCACAACUGAAUUCUUUUGCAAGUGCUCUUUGAAGAAAUUGAGCAGCGAGAACCGUUUUCUGGAUUCAGGAGAAAACAUAGAUUCUUAUCAAAAAAAAGGAGAAAACAUAGAUGAAGCCCAUCUAAAGAAGGAUCAUUCAGCUAUUAUUAUUGAGCAACUAACAAAAUACAAUGCUCUCUUCUCCAAAGCCCUUCAUAAAGCAUCUCCACUAACAGUUAAAAUAACAACCCUGGGUUGGAUUCAGAGAUUCUGUGAGAAUGUCGUUACUAUUUUUAAGAAUGACAAGACAUAUGCCAACUUUUUUGAAGAAUUUGGAUAUUUUAGCGUCAUAGGAAACUUGAUUUUUAUGGUAAUUGAUGCCGCAUCUGACAGGGAGCCUAAGGUGAGAUCUAAUGCAGCUUCAGUAUUGGAGCUGCUUCUGCAAGCAAAAAUUGUUCAUCCCAUAUACUUUUAUCCCAUCGCUGACGUAGUCCUGGAAAAACUUGGUGAUCCAGAUAAUGAAAUAAAAAACUCAUUCGUGAGGUUGCUUUCUCAUAUUUUGCCCACGGCACUUUAUGCAUGUGGUCAAUAUGACCUUGGAUCAUAUCCUGCUUGUAGGCUUCAUCUUCUGAGAUCUGAUCAUAAAUCUAGCCUGCACUGGAAACAAGUAUUUGCCUUGAAGCAGCUUCCUCAGCAAAUUCAUUUUCAACAACUAAUUUCCAUUUUGAGCUACAUAUCACAAAGAUGGAAAGUUCCUGUUGCAUCAUGGACCCAGCGGCUCAUCCAUAGAUGUGGGAGAUUGAAAGACAUUGAUUUGAGUCAAAGUGAGGAGAUGGGGAACCUAGGUGCAAAUGGUUUAUGGUUAGAUCUCAGGCUGGAUGAUGAUUUUCUUAAUGGGAAUUGCUCAGUUAAUUGUGUAGCCGGAGUCUGGUGGGCCAUCCAUGAAGCAGCUAGAUACUGUAUUUCUCUACGUCUACGAACGAACCUUGGUGGGCCUACCCAGACUUUUGCAGCACUAGAGAGAAUGCUUUUGGACAUAGCACACUUGUUACAGCUUGAUAAUGAACAUAGUGAUGGGAAUUUAACCAUGGUUGGGGCUUCUGGAGCCCGUUUAUUGCCCAUGAGGUUACUAUUGGAUUUUGUUGAGGCCUUAAAGAAAAAUGUUUAUAAUGCAUAUGAGGGGUCUGCAGUCUUAUCACCUGCUACUCGCCAAAGUUCAUUGUUUUUCCGAGCAAACAAGAAAGUUUGUGAGGAGUGGUUUUCACGUAUGUGUGAGCCAAUGAUGAAUGCUGGAUUGGCACUUCAAAGCCAAUAUGCUGCAAUCCAAUAUUGUACGCUGCGUUUGCAAGAGUUCAAGAAUCUUGUUAUGUCACAUAUGAAGGAAAAGUGUAAUUUACAGGUCGGUGAAAACAUCCACAACACAAAUAAACUUACAAGAGAUAUCUCAAGGGUUUUGAGGCACAUGACUUUGGCUCUUUGUAAAAGUCAUGAAGCAGAAGCUUUGGUUGGUCUACAGAAAUGGGUUGAAAUGACAUUCUCUUCCCUGUUUCUGGAGGAAAGCCAGAGUCUUGGUAACUUUACACUAGGACCCUUUUCAUGGAUUACAGGGCUAGUCUAUCAAGCAAGAGGUCAAUAUGAAAAAGCAGCUGCUCACUUUAUCCACUUGUUACAGACUGAAGAGUCACUUGCUUCUAUGGGUUCUGAUGGUGUACAGUUCACCAUUGCUCGUAUUAUUGAGGGAUAUACAGCUAUGGCUGAUUGGACAUCUCUGGAAUCAUGGUUAUCGGAGUUGCAAUCUCUUCGUUCUAAACAUGCUGGGAAGAGCUACUCUGGUGCUCUAACUACAGCUGGCAAUGAAAUAAAUGCAAUCCAUGCAUUGGCACACUUUGAUGAAGGAGAUUAUGAGGCAUCAUGGGCAUGUCUUGGUUUGACACCAAAGAGUAGCAGUGAGCUAACUCUAGAUCCCAAGCUGGCUUUGCAGAGGAGUGAGCAGAUGCUUUUACAGGCACUGCUUCUCUAUAAUGAGGGAAGGUUGGAAAAGGUGUCCCAAGAAAUCCAGAAGGCAAGAGCAAUGCUGGAGGAAACGUUGUCAGUCUUGCCUCUGGAUGGCUUGGAAGAAGCAGCUGCAUUUGCUACACAAUUACAUAGCAUUUCUGCAUUUGAAGAAGGUUACAAGCUUACAGGCAGUGUAGACAAGCACAAACAGUUAAAUUCAAUAUUGAGUGUUUAUGUUCAGUCUGUGCAAUCUUCUUUUUGUAGAAUUAAUCAAGAUUGCAACCCAUGGAUAAAAAUUCUUCGGGUUUAUCGAGUGAUCUCACCAACUUCUCCAGUCACCCUUAAACUCUGCAUUAAUUUGUUAAGUUUGGCUCGUAAACAGAAAAACCUGAUGUUGGCAAAUAAUUUAAACAAUUAUAUUGAUGACCAUAUAUCAAAUUGUUCUGAUGAAAAGCAUUGUCUAUUUCUCCUUUCAAGUUUGCAGUAUGAGAGAAUCUUGUUAAUGCAAGCUGAGAAUAGAUUUGAAGAUGCUUUCACAAAUAUCUGGUCCUUUGUGCAUCCUCACAUCAUGUCUUUCAACUCAAUUGAGUCGAACUUUGAUGAUGGUAUUUUGAAAGCAAAAGCAUGCUUAAAACUUUCUCGUUGGUUAAAACAGGAUUUAGAAGCUUUGAACUUGGAUCAUAUUAUACCUAAGCUGAUUGCUGAUUUUAAUGUGACUGACAAAUCCUCUGUAAGAGGAGAAUUCUCCAUCUGUAGUGAGAACUUACAUUCUGGACCUGGACCAAGUAUAGAACUUAUCAUUGAGGAGAUUGUGGGUACGAUGACUAAAUUAUCCACUCGUCUUUGUCCUACAUUUGGUAAGGCAUGGAUUUCUUAUGCAUCUUGGUGCUUUGCUCAAGCUGAAAGUUCUCUCCAUACUUCAAGUGGAACUGCUCUCCGCUCAUGCUUGUUUUCUUCUAUACUAGAUCCUGAAGUUCAUUCUGAGAAAUAUAGACUAACUAAAGAUGAAAUCAUAAAAGUGGAACGCCUGAUUUAUGUUCUCGUUCAGAAAAGUCAUGAAGCAAAAAUUGUUAAUGAUGAUCGAAGAGAAUGGAGUUCUGAGACCUUAGAGGAUUUGAAACUUGAUGGCACUGUCAAGGCCUUGUUGCAGCAAGUAAUAAAUAUCAUCGAGGCUGCAGCUGGUUUGUCAAAUACUGAAAACCCUGGGAAUGAAUGCCUAACUGAUGUCUUUACUUCUGAGUUAAAGUUAUUUUUUCAGCAUGCUAGUAUUGACCUAGAUGACACUAGCGCGGUAACCGUUGUUCAGGACUUGGUAGAUGUUUGGAGGUCCCUGAGGAGUAGAAGAGUGUCUCUCUUUGGUCAUGCUGCUAAUGGCUUUAUACAAUAUCUUUUGCAUUCCUCUAUAAAAGCUUGUGAUGGUCAGCUGGCGGGCUAUGACUGCGGGUCAAUGAAACAGAAGUCUGGAAAAUACACACUGAGGGCGACAUUGUACGUUCUACAUAUUCUUCUCAAUUAUGGAGCCGAGUUAAAAGAUUCUCUUGAACCUGCUCUAUCAACAGUCCCACUCUCUCCAUGGCAGGUUUGAUUUCUGUUUCUGAUUUAAAUCAUUUUUGUUUUCCUUUUGGAACUAAUUUGAUAAUGUUGUAGUUUAGAACAUAUUUUUAUUUUAUGAUUCUAGGAAGUGACACCACAGUUAUUUGCUCGCCUGAGUUCUCAUCCUGAGAAAAUUGUGAGGAAGCAGUUGGAGGGAUUGGUGAUGAUGCUGGCUAAGCAGUCUCCAUGGUCUGUAGUAUACCCAACGCUGGUUGACGUAAAUUCUUAUGAAGAGAAGCCUUCAGAGGAACUUCAGCAUAUACUUGGUUCUCUGGUAACAUGAUUUCUUUCAUUAAUUUAAUUUCAUCAAGCCUUUUCAUAUUUAAUACAUUUUAUUUUGAUGAGGAGUUUUCCCCUCUGUUUGAAUGUCUUUAUUUAAGCUUCUUUUGGCAACGGGUGGGAAACUGCUCCUGACUGGAAAAAGGUCUUAAACUUAUUCUAUGUGUUGUCUGAUUAACUGUUGAGUGAUUCAGUCUUUGACACUAACUAAAUUAGUCAAUUCUGGGGCUCUUUAGGUCCUAAAUCUCUGACCUUUUCUAGCUGGGGCUAAAUUAUUCAGUUCACAUAUUUCCUCCAAAAUCAUAUCAGAAUUAGAUCAGUCUUCCGUAUUUGAUUUCUUGAUGGAGUCUUCAUCAGUUUGGUCUUUCUUUUUAUCCUUGCACAAUGUACCAUUAUAUGGUCUCUUCAAGAAAAUGAUAUUGUCUAUUAUAGCUUGAAAAGAGGGACCAUCUCCAAGAAGGAGUGAUGAAUUGAUCUUUUGUACAGGAUGUGAAUUGAUUGUUUGUAGAGGAGUUUUCAUGCUUAAGGAGGAAUAAUGGAAAAACACACAUUUAGAUUCCUGUUAUAGUGGUCUUUAUUUAAAGAAAGAGAAACAUAAGGAUUUUCAAAGAUAAGUUGAUGUUAUUGAUCAUGGUCUUGACUCUUGAGUGUCAUUUUGGCUUCUUUGAGUUUUAUUGACUAGGCUUUUAAAAGACACUUCUAGAGUUUUUUUGAUAAGAGUUGGAUGCCAGUUGUGGUGGAAUCCUUUGGAAAAGUGGGUAAGUCUUCUGUUUAUGGGGAAUAGAGGCAGUUAUUCAUAAUCCGCUAAGUUCAUAACCCAAUGCAAGAAUAUAUGAUGAUGGGCUGGUUUUGUUAUAAGAUCCAAUAUUAAUAUCUUAAAUACUGGACUGCUGGUUUGGAAGAAAAUAGGAAAAGGUAAGAAAAGAGUCUUCUUUCUGAGCUUGAAUCUUUCGAUGCAAAAACUAAACUCAAGGAGAUUUUUAAUCUUCAAUUUGAUAUAUAAUCUACAUUCAAAUGUGAAAUUAUGGAUUCAUAACUAUUGUUUUGGCUGUUUUUUCUUUCUUUUGUUUGAACUGUACUUCGAUUGUUUGCUUCUUUUCAUUUAUUCAUUGAAAAGUUUUGUUUCCUUUAAAAGAUAAACUAGUUGUGUUUUCGGUUAAUUUUUCUAUUUGUGGUAGAAUUUCUUGUAAUAUUUCUACUCUGAAUAUACUUUUGAAUGAUAGUUGGCUCCUUAUAUGAAAAAAAAUCAUCGGCUGCUUUAUGAAUCAUGUAGAAAAAUACCACCUUUUAAUAUUUUGCUGAUUAUACUACCUAGCAAAAUGCAAAUUCGAGUGCCUGCCUCCAUUUUAAAUUGAUAAACUUUCCAAUGGCAUGGUGCUUGUUUGUUGGAAAUGUUUUCGGUUUGAAUCAAUAAAUUCAUGGUUACAGUUGAAAAGCAAGAUUGUUGAAACAUGCUCAUGAUACCUGCAGAAAGAGCAUUAUCCAAGAUUGAUCGAAGAUGUUCAAUUGAUGAUAAAAGAGCUGGAAAAUGUAACUGUACUUUGGGAAGAGCUAUGGCUCAGCACACUUCAAGAUCUUCAGACAGGUGAGAAGCAUGAUUUUAAAUCUACAUAAUGACACUUUUACCUGACAUAAAUUAUUCUAUAAUGCAGAAAUUUGUUUUUGGUUGCCAACUCACCACAAUAAAUAUAACUUCAAGUUUGACCAUAAUUGACCUUUCACGUGAAAUUUAGGUGCCAAAUUUGACCUGUAGGUUCUGAGACUCAGGGAUAUCAUACCUGCUCUAUGAUUUGCCCAAGUUUCCGUUAUUACUGAAUUUCCUGCACUGAGUAGUUGCUGCGACAUAUUGUAACUAGCACUUCACCUUGGCAUGUUGUAACGUUCAAGAACAAUACCAAUUUGUAAAUUAUCCUUUAAUUGAACAUUUUUCUUUUGAUAAGAAACAACUAAGAUAUAUUCAGAAAAGUCCAACAGUCUAGGGUAAGGUUGAGACAACCCCCAAAGGCCAAAAAGAGCUAUACAAGGAGGGUCUUCCAAUCACUAAUACCAUCAAAAGGCUGUAAUUACAUAAGAAAUUAUUCUGUAAAUAUAUUCACCAAGAGGCCAUAUUUUGUGUCCUAUCACAAAAUUUUAAGAAGUGGAAGGGUGUAGAAUUAUCUUCGGAGGUUCUAGACUAGUUUCUUUCCUCCCAAAUAAGCUGCAAAAUGCUCUAAAGGUGAAACUACCCACCACUUUGGCCUUUUUCUUCAGAUUCUAAGCAGCCAGGCCUUCCAACAUCCAAUUGUCAAUGUUUUUAUGGAGACAAAACUGUAAACCCAGUAUUCCUGCAGCGAUCCAAUCUUGAUUGGCAAAAUCACAAUGCAAAAAGAGGUGGCCAAGGCCUUCUGCCUCUUUCAAGAGCAUUCUGCUUUCCAAAGUGGACAAAAACCACCUUCUAAACUUCCUUUGGAGUCUAUCAUCAUUGUUCAAAUUCCUAUAGGCUGAAGACCAAAACUUUAAUUUUCUGAUGGUUGUCAUGUUUUCAUGUAAGCGUAAUCGGAGCAGAGUUUAUGCUAUUGGGCUUGGAAGCAAGACUAAAGGUGGAGUUGGAAGAGUUUAUGUUACUUGAACACUAUCUGUUGUACAUCUGUCACCUUGAAUUAUGAGGAAUGCCAAUUUGUAAAUUAUUGAGAAUUUUGUUGAUUUGUUUUUCCUUAUACAAAGCAAAAGAUUGAGAAGUCUAUAUUUUGCAGAUGUUAUGAGACGCAUAAAUGUACUCAAGGAAGAAGCUGCUCGAAUUGCUGCAAAUGUCACUCUCAGCCAGAGUGAGAAAGACAAGAUAAAUGCUGCUAAGUACUCAGCCAUGAUGGCCCCCAUUGUGGUGGCUUUGGAGCGUCGUUUGGCUUCAACAUCUCGAAAACCUGAAACACCCCAUGAAACCUGGUUCCAUGAAGAGUAUAAAGAACAGCUGAAAUCAGCUAUUUUUACCUUCAAGAAUCCUCCAUCCUCUGCUGCUGCACUUGUUGAUGUAUGGCGGCCAUUUGAUGAUAUUGCAGCAUCUUUGGCAUCUUAUCAGAGAAAGUCAUCAAUUUCUUUAAAAGAAGUUGCACCGAUGUUAACUUUGUUAUCAUCAUCUGACGUACCAAUGCCUGGUUUUGAGAAGCAUGUUAUCUAUUCAGAAGCUGAUAGAAGCAUUGGCUCUAAUCUUUCAGGAACUGUUACAAUUGGUUCUUUCUCAGAGCAAGUGACUAUCUUGUCUACAAAGACAAAACCUAAAAAGCUUGUAAUACUGGGUUCUGAUGGUGAAACCUACACAUAUCUCUUAAAGGGUAGAGAGGAUCUGCGUCUUGAUGCUAGAAUCAUGCAAAUGUUGCAAGCUAUCAAUAGUUUCCUGUAUUCAUCUCAUUCAACUUAUGGUCAAUCUCUCUCCAUUCGCUAUUAUUCUGUAACUCCAAUUAGUGGUAGAGCUGGUCUCAUCCAAUGGGUGAACAAUGUAAUGAGUGUAUAUACUGUAUUCAAGUCAUGGCAACACCGGGUCCAGGUGGCACAACUCUCAGCAGUUGGUGCUAGCAAUUUGAAAAGUUCUGUACCUCCACAGCUUCCACGUCCGAGUGAUAUGUUUUAUGGUAAAAUCAUACCAGCACUCAAAGAGAAAGGCAUAAGGAGAGUGAUUUCACGUAGAGAUUGGCCUCAUGAAGUUAAACGUAAAGUUCUUUUGGAUCUUAUGAAGGAGGUUCCCAAACAACUUCUUUAUCAAGAACUCUGGUGUGCUAGUGAAGGAUUCAAAGCUUUCAGUUUGAAACUAAAAAGGUAUAACUAUUUUGGUUUGUGUUGUAACAUGCUAAACUUUCUUUCUGUCAAAUACAAACAAAGGGCUAAUUGGCAAAAAGUUGUUUUUCUUAUGCUUGCAUAUAGAAAUUUUUAGGUGAUUAAAGGUAUAAUUGUCCUUUCCCCUUUUCAGCAUUUUUCUUUUAUUUUUUUUUCAAAGGGGUAUUUUCCGGCAUGAUUUUAUUUAAGGACGUUUUCUACAGAAAAUUUUAGUUUAUCAAAGGAAUGAUUACCUUUUUUUUCUUGCUUCUUUCUUCUCCUUGAUCUUCUAUUUUUUUUCUCCUCAAAUUGUAAUUUUCUAUUUUUCUGUAAUACUUCUUUUCUGAACUACUCUCCAAUUACUACUGUUUUCAGCAUGAUUUUUAUUUAAGAUUGUUUGCCUUGCAAGUUGUAUUAUGAAAUAUAUAUUCUUCUUUUUUCUUGUAUUUGCUUAACUUUCUAGAAAGUAAAGUUUCAAUUAGGAUUUCUUUACAAAGAAAUAAAAUUUACUGGCAUGUUUGAAAAUCAGGUUUAACAACAGAAAACAUUUAAAAAAUAAAUAUAAUUAAUACCAUUUGUGUUUUCUUGUUUGGUAGAGUAUUUCAAAAACAAAUUUUUUGAAUAAAAAUCUGUAAAAAUAGUAUUUGUUGCAGAAAUAAGUACAAGGUAUUAGGUAUGUUUCCUCAGGAAAAAAAAGAACAUGAGACUUGAGAGUAAACACAGAAAAUAGGUGCAAGGUUUGAAGAAGAGAGAUCUUUUGUGAUAAAGGUAGACGGUGAAAUAUGUUUUGGAUGAUCCAGAGCUGAUAGUGGCUAGGAAAAUCUGAAAAUAACAUUCAGAACUUGUAAAUUUAAAAUUUGGAAUUGGUCAUGUUCAGUUCAUAAUUGCCUGCCAGCCAACAUUUUUGCGAUAAAACUAAAUUGAUGUUGAGCCAUUCUGUGACAGUUUUCCCUUCCUUUCAUUUCUUUUGAUUUGCAAUAAUCUAGAUUCAGUCUGCUAAUCUUGCAAGAUAUAAAAUUUGUUCUCUACUCAGGUAUGCUGGAAGUGUUGCAGCAAUGAGUAUGGUGGGACACAUCUUGGGCUUAGGCGAUAGACAUCUGGAUAAUAUUCUUAUGGAUUUCUCUACUGGAGAUGUUGUACAUAUUGACUAUAAUGUUUGUUUUGAUAAAGGCCAGAAACUGAAAGUGCCAGAGAUUGUUCCCUUUCGUCUCACCCAAACUAUGGAAGCAGCUUUAGGACUGACAGGAAUAGAAGGGACCUUCAGAGCAAACUGUGAGGCUGUGCUAGAAGUUCUGAGAAAGAACAAAGAUAUACUCCUAAUGCUGCUAGAAGUUUUUGUGUGGGAUCCUCUUGUGGAAUGGACCCGUGGUGAUUUCCAUGAUGAUGCCACUAUAGGUGGUGAAGAAAGAAGAGGCAUGGAGUUGGCUGUUAGCUUGAGUCUAUUUGCAUCUCGUGUGCAGGAAAUUCGUGUCCCCUUGCAGGUUCUAGUCAUUUCCACUGAAUGAUAAUUGCUUUAUUUCUAUUUUCCUCUCUUUAAUUAUAGUGUCUUUUCUGCUAGUAUUUCUAGUUCAUUUAUGCUUAUAAACCACCAAUCAAGUUCACCUAUAAAAGGUGUACAAAGAAGAUGACCAAUCAGCCAGAUGCUGUUGAGCCAAUCAUUUGAUUGUGUGAUAAUGUUGGCUAGUUUGAAUGGAAAUCAUGUAGGUGAUACCGACGAUAAAAGGGUCCUUGGAAGUAGUAGUUUGUUAUUGCUGUUUGUAUUAAGUUAACAGGGAGAGAGGUACUUGUAUGGGGGGAAAAAGAGAGAGAAGGAGAGGGUAAGCUGGGAGGGAUUCAGGACCAUCCAACUUCCUUAAGAACUAAUAAUAUUGAUUUGUAAGCCAUGUCUGAGAUUUUGACAUGCUUCAAGUCAAUUAAGUUAUUUGAUGUGUGCUAUUAUAUAUGUAUAACACCUAUUUCCUCAUUUAAAAGAUGGAAUUAUCUCUAUCACACCUUGAAAGUUCUUAAUUUUCAAAAUUCAUUUCUUAUUGUCCAGAAAAUUUUCAGUCCAUCUUGGUAGUGCUUUACUCACUCAGAAGUUAGUGAUCACAAAACAUAAAACUUGGACUCAUUACUGUACAAUAGAUGAAAUGUUCUUUUUUACCCCAAAAAAAAAAAAAAUACUGUACAAUAAUGAUUUAUUGAAUUGUGGAAUUCAAUACUAACCUAGGUUCCAUUAUAACUCUCUAAAUUUAAAAGAACUAAAAUGUUUUGAGUUUAUGUUUAAUAGAUUUUGCUUGUGCAAACUCAUUAUAACUCUUAACAUUUUCCAGGAGCAUCAUGAUCUUUUAUUGGCUGCCCUACCUGCUGCUGAGUCUUCUCUUGAGGUACUGUACUGCUUGACACUUGUAUCUUGUUUGUAAUUUCCUGAGCUUCUACCAUCUUCACUUGUUGCUUCCAUGAAUUUCUCUGAACCAAAUAAUCUAUUCCAGGGGUUUGCAAAUGUCCUAAAUCACUAUGAGCUUGCCUCUACGCUCUUUUAUCAAGCUGAACAAGAAAGAUCAAGCAUAGUUUUGCGUGAAACAUCAGCUAAGUCAGUUGUUGCUGAUGCAACAUCUAGUGCAGAGAAAGUUCGUACACUAUUUGAAAUGCAGGCUCGAGAGCUUGCUCAAGGUAAGGCUAUUGUUUCUGAGAAAGCUCAAGAGGCAUCAACCUGGAUUGAGCAACAUGGAAGAGUCCUUGAUAAUAUAAGGAGCAAUUUGAUUCCCGAAAUAGACAUGUGUUUGAAUAUGAGAGCAAUUGGAGAAGCUUUGUCACUUAUAUCUGCCGUUACGGUGGCUGGAGUUCCAGUGACAGUUGUACCUGAGCCCACUCAAGUGCAAUGUCAUGAUAUAGAUAGGGAGAUUUCUCAGCUUAUAGCUGCACUAAGCGAUGGACUUUCUUCUGCUAUAGCUACAAUUCAAGUUUAUUCUGUUUCUUUGCAGAGAUUUCUUCCUCUAAACUAUGUAACGACUAGUGUAGUUCAUGGCUGGGCUCAGGCUUUACAAUUAUCUAAGAAUGCCCUCUCCUCUGAUAUUAUUUCACUUGCUAGAAGACAGGCUACUGAACUUAUGAUGAAAGUAAAUGAUAAUAAUGAUUCUGUACAAGUCAGUCAUGACAAUAUGUGUGUUCAAGUGGAUAAGUACGCAAAGGAAAUUGCAAAAAUUGAAGAAGAGUGUACUGAGCUCUUGACCUCUAUUGGUACAGAAACGGAAUUGAAAGCUAAGGAUCGGCUUCUAUCAACUUUUACUAAAUAUAUGACGUCUGCUGGCCUUGUAAAGAGAGAAGCUAUUCCAUCUCUCCAGAUGGGACGAGUUACACAUGAUGGGAAAAAGGACAUCAACAUGCAGCUGGAGCUUGUGGCAGAAAAGGAGAAAAAGGAAAAGCUACUAUCUAGUAUUAACGUUGCUCUGGAUAUUCUAUACUGUGAGGCAAGAGGAAAAAUACUGGACAUUUUGAAUGAUAUGAAUGAUGGGAGACUAGUGAAUAGAACUACAUCUCAUGAUUUUAAUGUUGUUUUCUCCAAUCUAGAAGAGCAAGUGGAGAAAUGUAUGCUUUUGUCAGAGUUUCAUUCUGAAUUAUUGGAUUUGAUUGAUGUUAAGGUGCUGAGUGUUGAAAACAAAUAUAAAAGUUGGCAUAGGAAUCAUUCUCAUAGAAAUUGGACUUCUACUUUUGCUGUCAUGUUCUCUUCUUUCAAAGACCUGAUAGGGAAAAUGACUGAUGCUGUUCUACCUGAUAUAAUUAGAUCUGCUAUUUCGGUGAAUUCAGAAGUUAUGGAUGCAUUUGGGCUGGUCUCACAAAUUCGAGGAUCAAUUGAUACAGCACUAGAUCAGUUUCUUGAGGUUCAAUUAGAGAAGGCUUCGUUAAUUGAAUUGGAAAAAAAUUAUUUUAUCAAUGUUGGCCUCAUUACAGAGCAGCAGUUGGCCCUUGAGGAAGCUGCUGUAAAGGGCAGGGAUCAUCUCUCUUGGGAAGAGGCCGAGGAGCUUGCUUCAGAGGAGGAAGCUUGCAGGGCAGAACUGCAUCAACUCCAUCAAACAUGGAACCAGAGAGAUGUACGCAGCUCGUCUCUUGCAAAGAGGGAGGCUAAUUUAGUACAUGCUUUGGCUUCAUCGGAAUGCCAGUUUCAAUCUCUUAUCAGUGCUGCAGUGGAGGAGACUUUUACGAAAGGCAACACCUUAUUGGCCAAAUUAGUUAAACCAUUCUCUGAACUGGAAUCUAUUGAUGAAAUCUGGUCUUCCUCUGGAGUUUCUUUUUCAUCUAUCUCAAAUGGGAUUCCUACUUUGUCAGAUGUGGUGAGUUCUGGGUAUCCAAUAUCUGAAUAUAUUUGGAGGUUUGGUGGACAAUUAAGCAGUCAUUCUUUCUUUAUUUGGAAAAUUUGUGUUGUGGAUUCUUUCCUUGAUUCGUGCAUACAUGAAAUUGCUUCAGCCGUGGAUCAGAAUUUCGGAUUUGAUCAGCUCUUUAAUGUUAUGAAGAAAAAACUUGAGCUUCAGCUUCAAGAAUAUAUUUUUAGGUACCUUAAAGAACGGGGUGUUCCUGCAUUCUUGGCUUGGCUGGAUAGAGAAAGGGAACAUUUAAAACCACUGGAGGCAAGAAAAGACAAUUUCCAUGAACACCAUGAUGAACAAAUUAAAGAUUUGGAAUUUAUUGAGAGGAUCCGAUACAUGCUGCAGGAACACUGUAAUGUGCAUGAAACUGCCAGAGCAGCAAGGUCUACAGUUUCACUUAUGAGAAAACAGGUGAAUGAGCUCAAAGAAACUCUUCAGAAGACUAGUCUGGAAAUUAUUCAAAUGGAGUGGUUACAUGACAAUAGUUUGACUCCAUCACAAUUUAAUAGGGCCACCUUGCAAAAAUUUCUCUCUGUUGAGGAUAGGUUAUACCCUAUUAUUCUAGACCUUAGCCGAUCUGAAUUGCUGGGAAGUUUGCGAUCGGCUACUUCAAGGAUAGCUAAGUCAAUUGAAGGCCUAGAAGCUUGUGAGCGAGGCUCUCUUACAGCUGAAGCACAGCUGGAGAGAGCAAUGGGGUGGGCUUGUGGUGGCCCAAAUACUGGUCCGGUGAUAAAUACUUCUAAGGCUUCAGGGAUUCCUCCUCAAUUCCAUGACCAUAUCUUGAGGCGGAGGCAGUUGUUAUGGGAAACUAGAGAAAAGGUAUCAGAUAUUAUUAAGAUUUGCAUGUCUAUAUUGGAAUUUGAAGCAUCAAGAGAUGGCAUGCUUCAAUUUCCAGGAGACCAUGCUUUUAGUACAGAUAGUGAUAGCAGGGCAUGGCAGCAAGCUUACUUGAAUGCAAUAACAAGACUGGAUGUUUCUUAUCAUUCCUUUUCCCGUGAGCAAGCUUUUCUCUUUUAUGUUGAUGUUGUCUCAUUGCACUAUUAAGCCCUUUUGGUUCUAAAGAAAAAUUGUUUAGAUAUUUUUAAAAAAAUCCUGAAAUCCAGAAUAAUAUAAUAAUUAUCGUCAAAAUAUAUAGGUUCUGAAGAUAUAUGUGGUUUAUUAUCAAGCUUGAGAUAGUUACAAAGUGAAAGUUUAGUCCCUAGAUGAAAGAUAUAUUUUCUAGAAUUGUCCCCGGGAGUUAUAUUUUUAGAUAUAGUAUUUUUGGGGGUAGAAUUUGUUUCUUUAAAGAUGAUACUUGGGCUACAAUAAGGAAAUUUUUAUCUUUCAGGUUAACUGAUGAUUCCUUAUUCUUUGCGUCUUCUACUAGGUACUGAACAAGAAUGGAAGCUUGCAGAAAGAAGCAUGGAGGCUGCCUCAAACGAAUUAUAUGCUGCAACCAAUAAUCUUCGCAUUGCUAAUCUUAAAAUGAAGUCCGCUUCAGGUCAUGCAUCUUUCUGUUAUUUAAGCUGAGCAAGUACAUAGAUAUAUACACAAGCAUUACACAUUUUCCUCAUUUGACAUUUGACAUACGCAAGUUUUUAUCUUUAUGGUUUAUGCACUAAGAUUAUCCUUGUAUACAAUAUUUUCAACAGUACCUUUUGCUCAUUGCUUGAACAUAUUGGCUGUCUUUGUAGGUGAUUUACAAAGCACUCUUCUCAGUAUGAGAGAUUGUGCAUAUGAAUCAAGUGUUGCACUCUCAGCAUUUGGUAGUGUCUCAAGGAACCACACUGCAUUGACCUCUGAGUGUGGUUCUAUGCUUGAAGAGGUAACUGAAUAUAUCUAUGAAGCUCAGGAUUUGAUUUGAGGUGAUUGUGUCGCCAGCAAUAUUUCUGGAUUUGUUGUCAGGAUGUUGUUCCUUCAAAAGGAAAUCAGCAAGUCCUAAAAGGCACCUGCAGGCUUCAAUUUCACUAAUCUCUUUUACAGAAGACGAUAAUGGUUAACAUGGGGCCAACCUGAACAUAGCUCUGUUGAUUUGAAUCAACUUUUAUCAUAUCUCUGAUUGCCAUCAAUUCAUCUAAAAUAAUCGAUAUAUUAUUCUAUGCACAAUGCAUCCAUCUUUUUUUUGUAGGCUUAAAUUUCAGUAAUCUCUUGUAUGGAAGAUGAUAACUGUGAUUAACAUGAGACCAAUCUGAACAUUACUCAAUUGGUUUAAGCAUAUACCUUCGAUUUGAGAGGUCAAUGAUUGAAUCACCCAACAAGAUGUUAAACUGAAAAAAAAUAUGGUUGUGGGAAGCAAAAUAAAAUCGUUAAAGAUUUUCUAUGCUUUAUAGAUGAUUCUAAAAUUUGCUCUCAUUGGCAUCUUUUCCUUCACCUGUUUAUAUGAUUUUUUAAUUGUUUGCACUUAAGAUUGUUUGAUCUCUUUUGAUCAAGUAUAUGACAAAGUUCUUUUUCUGUUCAAAUGCAGCUAAUAUUUCUACAUUUCCUGUAGGUACUAGCAAUAACCGAAGAUCUGCAUGAUGUUCAUAAUUUGGGAAAGGAGGCUGCUGUAAUUCAUCGUCAACUUAUUGAAGACAUUGCGAAGGUAUUUUGAUCAAUCAUUUACGUGACUAAAUCCCAGUCUAUUUAAUCUAGACAUUCGUGCUGCAGAGCAUGAUAGAGUAGUCUGCUUCCAACUGUAGUCAGCUUAUAGCAUUCCCCAUGUGAAUUGAUACUGGUUAUGGUAUUUCCCAUUCCAGUGCCAUUGUUUGCUUAUUGUUUCACUUCUUAAGCAGGCAAAUUCAGUCCUCCUUCCCCUUGAGGCAAUGUUAUCCAAGGAUGUUGCUGCCAUGAUUGAUGCUAUGGCUAGAGAAAGAGAAAUCAAGAUGGAAAUAUCACCUAUACAUGGACAAGCUAUAUAUCAGUCCUAUUGUUUGAGAAUUAGAGAGGCCUAUCAGAUGUUCAAGCCUUUGGUCCCUUCUCUGACAUUAUCUGUGAAGGGUCUGUAUUCCAUGUUUACCAAGCUUGCACGAACAGCAGGUCUCCAUGCUGGAAAUCUUCAUAAAGUAUGAAUGGAGUCUAUAGUUCAGCUCGUUGAUUUCAUGAAUUAUUUUACAAUGCUUCUGAUGUUACUGAAUUUCCACCAAAUGUGAAAUCUACUUUUUCAGGCUCUUGAAGGACUAGGAGAAAGCCAGGAAAUUAAGUCAGAGGGAAUUCACAUAACUAAGUCUCAGUUCAAUAGUGAAGUAGAUGCAGUUGACUUCGAAAAGGAGAGAGAAAGCCUCUCCUUGUCUGAUAGUGAGAGUAGCGGAGAUAUCCCUGAUAUUACCAGACUUUCUUUGCAAGAUAAAGAAUGGUUAUCUCCACCUGAUAGCUUCUGCAGCAGCAGCUCUGAGUCUGACUUCACCACUAGUAGCUUUCCAGAUAGCUCCAACGACCUAACAGAGGAUAUGGGUCAACACUAUAACGGGUCUAGUGACAGAGAAGCUAGAGUUAUUCCAAAAAUUACCUCAUUUUCUCAAACUGACGUUGGAAAAAUGUUACGUUUGGAGGAGUCAGAAACAAAAUCCACAGAUGGUAGCCAAACCUGUUUUAGAAAGUUAUCAACCAAUGAGUUCAAUGGAGGAAUUAAAAUUGUUGCAACACCACCUGAUGAAUCUAUUGAAGUUCCUGCUAUUGCGUCACAUCCGUUGAAUGAGACUGUUGAAAGACUGGAGGAGGAAAGUGGUGUAACCUCAUCAGAUAAGAGAUUAGAAGAUGAAAAUCAAGAGGCUCCUCCAGCUCAGAAGGCUGCUUGGAGUCGUGCAAGCAGGGGUAAGUAGUGUACCUUCACUCAGACACAUAUCUAUUAUCCUUAAUUCCCAAUUAGCGUUUCCACUGCUGCACUAGAUGAUAUUUAUGAUUACAUGUUUUAUUUAUUGAUCGAUGUUCUUAAUGUUUUCAUUAUUUUAAAUUAUGCAUAUGUGGAUAGGGGAAUUAGCUAUUUUAGAACGGAAAACUAUCACAAAGAAUACAACUGUAAGGAAUCUCCACAAGAGUCGCAAUAUAUUAUCACGAUCCCAAAAUUCAAAGUUCAUACCAGUUCGAGAGGGUGGAUAUCUCCUUGCUGUAUCACCAUCUAAUACAAAAGAUAACAUAACCCAAAAUACAAUGACUAAAAAUAUUAUGUUGUUUUGUUUAUCUUGUAGUGUGCUUCUAAUGCGUAUUAAAUCAGAACUACUGUUCUUUAUUGCAUAUAAAUUAGCCUCAGUUCCUUGCUUUACUUUCGGAUUCAGUAAAAUUUGCUUUUGAUUAUUGGAAAGUCAGCACAAUUUUCUUGUAUAUGAGCUUUGCAUUCAGAGGGAAAACUGAAUCGUCCCCAUUUGAUGUGGCAUUGCAUAUUUCAUUCCAAAAGUUGAAGUCUUGUGUUAUGGUCCUCUCAGGUAGAAAUGCAUACGCAACGUCUGUUUUACGGCGUGUAGAGAUGAAACUCAAUGGAAGAGACAAUGUCGAUAACAGGUACCUACUCUUAACUUGGCGCUGUUGACAAUCUCUAUGCUGGAUUUCUAACUAUCUUUUAACUAACAGAGAACUUAGCAUUGCUGAGCAAGUGGAUUAUCUACUUAAGCAAGCAACGAGUGUAGACAACCUGUGCAACAUGUAUGAAGGUUGGACCCCAUGGAUUUGAAAUUUGAAGACCGAGGAAUCUUGGAUACCUGUACUGAUGGAUGGUUAGCAGAGGUUCGUCGAGAAAUACUAGCACCAGAUUCAUUAAUCCAGAACUUGGAAGAACAUGCUGGGGUAUGUUCAAAGUUACUACCAUGCGGGACCUCUUGUUUGCUGCAUUGGUUCGCCCUACAGCUGGAUUCAUUUCAUCAUAUGAAUUAUUCAGUCACAGUGUGAAAGAAAGUAACAGCGAUUGCUCGAAAAGCUGCGCAAGAUCCAUCUUGGCAUUUCCAUUACUGAGCUGUGCACAUGAACUAUUGACGAAGUGUCCAAACAGCGUUCACGUUCUUCACGUUCCAAUAUGCUGCCCCACGCAAGGUCGAGGGCAGGUAAUAUGGGCCACGUCUGGGGCUUCAAAGUUAUAACGAAACCAAGCUUUGGUCCAUUUGGCAUCUGAGAUGUUGCUUGGGAAUAUUGCAAUGUUGAUGCUGAGGAGUUGUGGGUUUUUGGUAACGAGCUAUUUACUGCGUGGAUAAUCUGAAGAAGGUAGAACAUCACUUCCGCAGAAGAUGAGAAAUUGCAUAAUGUAAUGAAUUAUUGUAUCAUUUAGGAAAAUGAUUAUUUAGCCAUUCAAAUAGGUUAUAUACUUUAUCCAUAACUGUGAAAAUUGGAAUGUAAAUGUAGACUGUAAAUGUCAUGAUAGUUUGUCACUCUUUGUUUUGUUGGGUUUUUACUUAUGUAUGGAUGUUAUGUGAUGUUAUUGAAGGCAAGUUGAUUAAUUUGGUCAAAUAAUUACAUUUUUUUUCAUGCCAGAAGAAACACCAUUUAGUAUAUUUUCAAAGUUUAUAACAAGAUUAUGCUAAUGAAAUUACUUAUUACUUAUGCACUACACCCAUCAAUUUAUCUGACUAUUUAUUUUUUUCAAAAAAGUUUUUAAAAUUCUUUUUUAAGUGAACAAUAUAUAAAUAGGUACAAUCCAACUUACAAUGUCCACGUCACCAACAAGGAUAGACUUGAAGUGAAGUAAUGAAUCCACAAGCAAAUGGUUUAGUCUCUUCCUAUGGGAAGUGAAGAAUCUCCCUUUUCCCAUAGAAUAGAAUUAAAAAUCCCUUUUCCCAUAGAAUAGAAUUAAAAAUCCCUUUUCCCAUAGAAUAGAAUUAGACAAACAAAUUAAAUGAAACUCAAAACUCAAAACUCAAAACCAACCAAUUCUAACAGUUUGUUAAGCACACAGAUAUAAAUCCAGUUUUUUGAAGCUUACUCUUUAAGUGAUCUUAUUUAUAUUGAAACUCUCAUGUUCCUCUAUUUUCCAUCAUCGCAAAUAUAUUUUCCUCUACUUCUUACUCUAGAUUCUAUUACUCCUCGUCAUGUCGGGGCUCGUAGACCUAUGGACUUCUGAGCAGGCUAAACUCCGCCACGAGGGUGGCUCCUCCCCCGCCGCUCCCACCGUUGAUGUGGCUGAACAAGGAAGAUGGAACUCCACUGAGUUAACUCGAGUUUGGGACCGAGUAAGACGACUCGGUAUGAAUGGGAAGAUGUGUUCUGAAGCUUCUGUUUGUAUGUUGGUUGAAUUUAUGAGUCCAUAGAGAUUCAAAACAUCUCACUGUACAUAAAACACUUUCAAUAAAACUUUCCUUUUUCAAUAUCUAUAAUUUGCCUUUAGUUACUUGGGUUAGAGAAUACGAGUAUUAUAUAUCAAUUCAAUUAUGUUCCUUUUGGCUUGAAAUACUAUUUUUAAUAUAACUAUGCGGUGGGGUGGGAAUUGAACUUUCGACCUUACCUUCAAUUUCAAGAAGGUUUGAAUCAAGAUUUGCCAUUUCUUCAACUUUCACUUUCACUACUAUCAUCCCAUGUAGCCUUCAUUGUCUUCUUCUUGGAUUUCUUAGAUGAUUUGAGGAGAGGACAAUCCGUUCUUAUAUGACCCAAUCUUUUGCAUUCAUAACAAAUCACCUCAUCUUUUUUGCUUUUCUCACCUUUUGACUCUUUUUAGAUUGAUAGGUGUUUCUUGAAAUAUUUCUUUCUUUUUAUGAAACUUUUGUAUUUACGUGAGAAAUAAGCAAUGUCAUCUUCAUCAAGGCCAUCCUCAUCUUCGGGAUCAACUUUCAAGGAGAUAGUCUUUAAUGCAAUGGUCUUUUUCUUUUUUGACUCAUCCUCCAAGUGUUCAUUCAUGAUGAUCUCAUGAGUCAUGAGUGAGCCAAUAAGCUCCUCUAGUGGAAGUUUGGUGAGAUCCUUUGCUUCUUGAAUUGCCGUUACCUUAGCUUCCCAAGUCUUAGGUAGAGACCUUAGAAUUUUUCUAACAUUUUCAGAAGUUGUAUAAACUUUACCAAGACCCUUCAAAGCAUUUAUGAUGUUAGUAAAUCUAGUAAACAUAUCGGUGAUAGUCUCAUUAGCAUCCAUCUUAAACAAUUCAUAAUUAUGAACAAACAUGCUAAUUUUAGACUCUUUAACUUGAUUUGUUCCUUCAUGAGUAAUUUCAAGAGUAUUCCAAAUUUCUUGAGCGGAAGAACACAUGGAUAUUCUAUUAAAUUCAUCUUUACUCAAGGCACAAUACAAACAAUUAAUAGCCUUAGCAUUUAAAGAACACUUUUUCAUUUCAUUUUCAUCAUACUCUUCUUCUAAUUUAGGCGUAUCAACAUUAUCAACAUUUUUCAUGGGUACAUAAAGACCUUUAGCAACAAUUAACCACAAAUUAUAGUCAAUAGAUUGCAAAUAAAUUUUCAUUCUUGCUUUCCAAUAUGCAUAAUUUGAAUCAUCAAAAUAAGAAGGUCUAGAAAUAGAUUGACUUUCAACAAUCCCAUUUGCCAAUAGGUUUGCUAUAAUGCUCUAACAAGAAAGUUUAUCAAGAAAUUAAAAUUUCAAGAUGAGCAACCUUACUCUGAUACCAAUUGUUGGAUCGGUAUGGCAGCCCUAGAGGGGUGAAUAGGGUUUAAAUAAACUUUUUGACAAAUAAAAAGUAAAAUCAACUAAUUAGAUAUUUUUUUAAUUUAAAUGAUUGAAAAACUUUGUAAACUUUGUUAAAUAAUCAAGAUUGAUAAAAAGAUAUGAAUGGAAGUAUACAAUCAAACUCAACCAAUAAGAAUAUGUAACUAAAAUUAAAUUAAAAAAUAAUUAGAAAAGAGUUAGAGAAGAAGACACCGUAAUUUUAUAGUGGUUCGGUUAAACUCAACCUACAUCCACUUUCCCAAGCACCUCUUGGGAUUUUGAUUGAAAAUCUUCUUUGGACUCUUUCCACGGAUUUGAGCCGAACCGAUUCUUGCUCCUUUUUCGGGUUCAAGAGCAAACCCGAUCCUUUCCACGGGUUAGGAUCCAACCGUUACAAUAUGUUGAAAUUUUUAAAUCACACAAAAGAAAACUCUCUAAAAGAGUGAGUAUACAAUUUGAAGCUCACAAAUUUAAUCCUCACAAUACAAUAAGAAGCUCUCAAGAAUAAGAUGAAAAGAAUAAAAAUUGGAAGCUUUAGGGAGAAUAACAAUGUUGGUUUUUUGCACUUUUUCAGGAUUGUAAAGAUUUAAUGAUCUUGUGUCUUUUUAAAAUUUGGGAAAAGUGAAGUAUUUAAAAAGAGAGAAAAGAUAAAUUCAAAAUCAUUUUGGGUCAUUAGAUAUAAGUAAAAGAAAAAUAAAUGAUUGAGAUUUAAACUCAAUUAGCCGUUAGACACAAUACAAAUAAUAAUAUAAUAAUAUGGCUUUUCAAAAUACUUUGUUUAAAAAAAAACCAAUAAAGCAACUUCACCAUUUUUUUUAAAAAAAAACUAGCCGUUAGACAAGGAAAAAUAAUAAUAUUAAAGUCAUUUUCUUUAUAAAAGCCAGUAAAACAUAACCAAAAGCCACAUUUGUUACUCCUUCAUUGCUCCAAGUGGCUUUCUCUAAUUGGUUCAAAUUGAAUGCUUGGUCGCCACGUCACCAUCUCGGGUAUUUUUUCGUUAAGCUUCUUUUAGCAAUAUUUUCUUCAUUUGAACUUCGAUUUGGGUGAUUCAAGAGGCGUUAGAAUCAUUUUUCCAAGCUCUACGAUAUGGUCUAUUCAAAUUAAUAAAAUUGUCAAUAAAAAAAAUCAGAUUUGUUAUCAUCAAAACAUAAAUUAAUUGAAUAAUUAAAAUAAAUUAAUUUGAGAUUAAGGGCCAAAAAGCCAACAAUCAACUCAAGUGAGAUCUUUAAAUAAGAACCGAGAUAACAUACUAAAAUACCUAAAAGGAAACGAUUGCUAGCCUACUCAAUAUGCAAAUGACAAUAAAAACAUAAUUUGUAAACAACAGUAAGCAAUAUUCACCUUAUUUUUCAUGAUGGCUUCCAAAGAUAUGAAAUGUGAAAGGAAAGAAGAGAAAACUCAAACAAUUGUAGAAAGUUUCUUGGGAGUUGGUGGUGAAACUUCUUGAGAUAACCAUUUCAUUUUUCAAUAUAACAAUUAUAUUUUCGGUUAUGAGAGCAUUUUCGUCACAACUGAAAAAUUAAAUCUGGGAUGCAUGUUACUAUAUUCACAAAAACUCGAGCAAAUCUCCAACAUACAAAUUAUAUUAUAUCUUGGGAUCGAUUAUGGUCGAGAUUUUUCGAAAAAAACAAAAAUGUAAUUUUUUUUAAACUAUGCUACUUUUGAAAUGUAAAACCUAAGCUGUGUUGUUUUUGUCAAUUUGUCAUUUUUUUUCUUACAAAAUUUCAUGUAAUGUUUCAUGAAACAAAAGGCAAAGCAAAAACAUAUCUAAAAUCAAAUCACAAACUCAUUUAUAAAUUUAUACAUAAUUUAUUGAGAAGCACAUGUUUUGAUUUAAUUUAAGAACAUGCGUUGAUUUUCUUUCUAGUAGGAUAAAAAAAAGUUCCAAAGAAGUUUAAAAAGUCUAACUUAAACGGACCAUAAAUCUACCUGUGAUUUUGUUUUUGGAUAAUUAAGGAUUUGUAGAAUUUUUUUAAGAAUAAUAAUUAAGUGUAGAGCAACAUUUUCAAAAUAUUGUAAAUUUAGCAAACUCAAAAUGGUUAUCGAGUGAUGGAUAUAUUAUAUUUCUAAUAGAUUAUUUUGACAGAUUUAACUAUAUUUGUAAUGUUUUAAGAUGUUGUUAUUUAUCCUAACAUUUUGAAUCUAAUUAUUAUGGUUUCAACUAUCAUAUGUGUUACUUUUUAGUAGUAUAAAUUUGGGUAAAGAAAUUUGAACGAGGUACGAAUCUUUAAGUUUUAGCUGUGAUGAAAUUUAUACAUAUACCAUCCAAAUUUGAUCUUUUUAAAUGAUAUUUUUUUUGAGUUGACUCAAUUUUAGUAUCAAUAUACUUUUAUAAUUCAAUUAUAGUCCUCCUACUUUCAAUAAAUUUUAAAUUUCACUACUAUGUAAAGAAAUUUACAUGAAAUUUAAAUAAAUGUCAUGACCAUUUUUACAUGAAUAAUUAAACAAUUGACUUUCAUGCAAACAAAUAUAGUAUGUGAAAUAUAUUUUCAAAAUUUAUAUAUAGUAAAAGGUUUUUAAAAAUGAACAAUAAAACUAGCUUUAUCGUUGGCUAAAUUUAUGAUUUAUUGAAAGUGUGCGUGGAUAAAAGUUAGAUAAUUGAAAAUGUAAGAACUAAAAUAUAACAAUUUUGAAGAUAUAGGGACGAAAAUGAAUUUUAACCGUCAUCAUUAAUAUAAAUUAAAAUGAUUAAUAAUAAUUUUAGUUAACAAUGUUCUACAUUAUAUAUUCCAAUUCGGAGUAUGAUUGUGUCAUUACUACUAUUCAUUACAAUAUUAUUGUACCAAAGGAUUAAAAUACUGAUAUGUCAUUGUUGAUAUCGAGAUUUCAAUUUUAUGAAUAUAUUAAUAAAAUAUCAAUAUCGACACAUAUUAAUUUCUAAAAGUUACAAAUUUUUUAAAUUUAUUUAGAUUAUUAAUUUUAUUUUUAACCCAAAACUAAGUUAUAUCCAUACAGUUAUUAGUAUAUUAAAUUUAUAUUAGAAAUAUUAGAUGUAUAUAUUGUCUUUUACGAGCAUUUAUUAAAGAUGUUGGAUAUAUCCAUAGAUAUUUAAUAUAAUUCAUAUCUAACUCAUUGACUUACAAAUCCAUCCACAAAUAUAUCGCAUAUGCAUGGAUAUAUUUUAAUCCUUCGUUAUACCUUCCUAAACAAAACAAAUGCAUAACACAUCUUUCUUCCAACAAUGAAAAAUUUCUUCCAGGUAAUAAUCAAUGUUAUCAAGGACAAAAGGUACAAAAGAUGAAUAAAUAAACACAAAUAUAUUUUUGUUUAAAAGUUUCAAAUUAAGAUUAUACAAUGUUAUUGAAAUACUAUUUGUAUUCCUUUUUUCGAUCAAAUGUAACAACAACAAUCUUUUUCAUUCGAAGAGCCAUCUAACUUGGGAUAGCAAAACCCACCAUUUUUUGUCUGUUUGAGACAAUCAUUAUUACACGAAACAUUAUCGUCUGGGUUUGAGCAGGGUUUUAUACAACUCAUGAAUAUAUCUCCUUUUGCUGCCAUAUGAUAAAAUACCAAUAUUGUUAAUAAUAUAUUUUUCAAUUGAAAGAACAUAACAUUAUGAAACUAUUAGAAGGAUUAUGAGAGAAAAACAUACUUGAUAAGACAAAACAUGUGAAUAUCAUCAAGAUAACGAUGAACACCGUAAAAUUUUUCUGAUUUGCCAUGUCCUUUAGAUGUUAUUAACGUGUUUAAAAAAGUUCGAGGAGAACUAAUUUAUAGUAUCUUAGCAACAAUAACUAAAAAACGGUACGGUGCUAAAUAUGUCGUUAAAAACUCAAAUUGAUUUUGUUAAUUUAGUUUAUAAAAACUAAAGUCUAUAUGGAAUUUUUAGAAAAAUAGAAAGAGAUUGGUAAUUGAGACUAUUUUUAGAAAAAAACUGAAAUGAUAAAUUACACAUGAAUUGAUCCUAAAAGUCAUCUGAAGAAAAAUAGGGUUAGCAAUGUGAGGGGGAAUGGUAAAAAAAAAGAAAAGAAAAAGAAAAAACCAAAUCGAUCAAUUACAACCCACUAAAGAUCCAUAGCAAGCCAUCAAACUAAACUACGAAUGUGAUUGAUAACUCCCUCAUAAGUGAGUUAUUAAGUCCCAAAAGGCUUGACUAUCAAGUAUAAAACAUGUGCAUGUCUUGUUAUAUUUGAUCACUUUAUGACUAAUUUUAUGCAAAAAACCAAGCUACUCAUGCAUGUCUUUUUGAGCCUUGAUUAGCAAAUUAGUAACGUAAAUUAUGUACAAAAAGAGUCCAAUCUUUAGUAAUUCUUGAGUUUAUAUAUCAUUUGAAAUUGUUGCUGUAAUUUUUAACAAAUAGAAAGUUCCAAGAUUUUUGAGAUACGUUCAUUCUUUUCAAAUUCAAUAAAAUCAUAUAAAAAAAUUUGCAUUUGAAUAAUUUGAAUAUAUUCAAGCUAAAUCGUGUAGGAAAAAGUUGCAAGGUGUUCUAGAGAAACAUUAUUUUCUUGAAAAUCUUUAAAAGACGUCGUUUCUGCUUUCCAAUGCAUCACUGAACAUCAAACUCAUGCUAUCUAGAAACUCUAGCUACCGUUUUACAUGUUACAUCAUUCACAGUUAAUAACCAUACCCUAAUAUAAUGGCCGUUGUUGUUUUUGAUUCUUUUCAUCCUUUUCAAUUUUCUUUUGGGUGCUUUCUUUACAAGAACAAGCAUAAGUACUAGCCAUUAUUCAUCUUGAAAGAGAGCUUAGGAAGAUCAAUAGGCAAGUUGAGAAUUUAUCUUGUACUUUUACAUCUCACAUAUUUCAUACAUUCGUUUUCAUCCAUUUAUAAUAUGACUUCUUCUCUUCUUUGCUUCUUGAGUUCCUUAUUUUUCAUUAUGAGCUAAACAUCAUUUUAGGAUUAAGGAUAUACUAAGAAUGUAAUAAAUCCUCCACACGUGUCCUAUUUAAUUACCUUGCUCAACAUUUAUUUUACCUUCGAUUUUAUUGAUUUUAUGCAUUUUUUGAAUUUUGAUUAUCACAUAAGUUGGCAUAUAAUGUUGAGUCUUGUAUCAAAAUAGUUAGAUAAUAAAAUGAAUUAAGAAAAAUAAUAUAGGACAAACAGCUAGAGCCCUAGAAAUAGGGUAUAAUGCCUAUAUGAUCAAUAUUGAAUUGGAGUUAACCAUAUCUUAAGUUGUAGUUAGUCAUAGAAAUAGGUGUUUCAUUGCAUAGUCCUCUAAAUGUUCUUCUUUAUGGGAGUUGGCUCCAUUUGAUUUGGUUAAGUGUCUACGUUGUGUGCACAAUCUCUGAUCGCAUAUAGUUUAACUCCGUUUGUUUUUUUGGGGUCGAUUCUGGCUGAGAUUGCCUGAGAAAAACAAAAAUGCAAGUUUUUUUUUUAAAGUGCGCCACUUUUAAAAUAUAAAACUUAAACUGUGUCGUUUUUGUCAUUUAUUUCUUUUUUUACAUAUUUUGUCAUUUAUUUUCUUUCCAUGAAACAAAUGGAGCAUAAAUAUAUACAAAAUUAAAUCACAAAUUCAUUUAUAAAUUUAUACGUGAUUUAUUGAGAAGCACACAUUUUGAUUUAAUUUAAGACAUGGGUUGAUUAUCUUUCUAGUUGAAUAAAAAAAGUUUCAAAUAAGUUUAAAAUGUCUUUUAACUUAAAUGUACCAUAAAUCUACGUAAUUUUACUUUUGGAUGAUUAAUGAGAGGUAGCAAUUUUAGAAACAAUAAUAAAGUAUAGAUUACUAAAAUUUCAAAAUAUAAUAGAACACUAAAAUUUCAAAAUAUAAUGUUGUAAAUAUAGCAUCUCAAUAUGGUCAUCUAGUGAUGGAUAUAUUAUAUUUUCUAAUAUAUUAUUUUGGUAGAUUUUGACAUAUUUAACUAUAUUUACGACGUUUUAAAAAUGUUGUUAUAUAUGCUAAUAUUUUGAAUCUAAUUGAUAAAAAUGUUAAUAUAUACUUAAUUAUUAUUCAUAAAAUUGGUAUCCAUUAUUAUUACAUAAAAAAAUGUCAAAAAUAACAAAUUUAACAAAACAUAGCAAAAAAUUUCAGACUUUAUCACAUUGAUAGCAAUUGAUAAGUUUCUAUCAGUAACAUUGUAGAAAUCUAUCGGUAAUAGAUUUCAAAAUUUUGUUAUAACUUGUAAAUAUUUUAAUUUAUUUUACUAUUUUUAAAAAUGUAUUAAAAAAAUAUUGUCUAAUAAUUACUUUUUUGUUUCGUGGAGUUUGAAACAUACCGACAUAUUUAUUUCAUCAAUAAUAAUAAUAGGAAAAAUAUCCCAUAUCAAUAUCUUAUUGAUAAAUUAUAUUAAUCAAGUUAGAGCUCUUUAAAACUAUAAAAAUUUAAUUAAAAUUAUGUUCAAAUGUAGAUUUUGUUACUUUGAUCCUUUUGUACUUAGGAUCAACAUUUUGAAAUGGAUUGUACUGAAGAUGGGAUGAUGAAACAAUCUAUAUCAUUAUUACAAAGAGGCAAAUGGCUAAAGUAGGGUCACUUUUGAAUGUUCAAUUUAGACACUGACUUGGUGUUGGGGAAGGAUGAAAACAUUAGCAGACAUGUGGAUAUACUUGAUGAUAUAUCUAUAAAUUAAAAUAUAAUGUUUGAUAGUGAUAUUAAAAUAUUCACGGAUAUCUCCCACAUCUUCUAUCAAUAAUAAUGCUUCUAAAAUAUAAAAAAUACCAUUCUAAUGGUCUAGAAAUGUGAAUAAGAAAUAUACUAAUAACAAUAUCCAUAACUUAGUAAAAACAACUUAAUUAUUAGUCUACUUAUAAAAUCCAUUAAUAUAAGAAAAAGAAAAUUGAAAUCUUGAUAAUAAUAAUAUCGACAUCAAUAUUUUAAUUCUUUGUAGGUCAAUACCAUAUUGGUUAGAAAAGAGACUUUAUGAUUAUGGUCGAGUAUAUUUUAAUUGGUAUGAGAACUUUUGGAUGGUUCUAAAAGUAAUAUCACAAAAAUGUUUAUAUCCAUAAACAAUAUCAUAUCAUUGUAGAGAUAGAUGAAAUGUUUUAUUGUCUACUGUGAUUUGUCCUCGAUCAUAAAGUUUUAUAAGUAAAUUGGAUAAGACUCGACUUUUCCUUUGUUUUUGUUUUGUGUUUCUAUUCAUUAUUGUGUUAUUUGUUUUCUAUCUACCAAAAAAGGGGACUCCUUUUAGUUUGAAAAAGUGCAAGGGUGAGAUUGAAAUGAUCCCUCGAAGUAUUUUAUAGUGAUAUUUUAUUUAUCGUAUUAUAGUCCAAUCAUAUCACAAAAUAUAUAUAUAUAUAUAUAUAUGAAAAUAUUCCAAUAAUAUCACUUAUAUCACCAAUAUGUUAACCCUAUGUCAUUAAUAUUCAUUAUUAAACUUUUGUUUCCUUAGACCAAUAGUUGUGAUGGUUUCUACGUACCUACUUUUUGUUAUGUAUAGAAGAUAUAUAUUAGCUCUAUGUAUGGAAGACGUGAGGGAUAAAAGGUAAAUCAUUAAUAAUCAGACAACACCCUAAGUUUAGGAUUCUUCUUCUUUAGAUUUAGUCACGAUUCAUCCAUGUUCCACUCUUAGUUAAACAUAGAGCUUUAUUGUUGAUGAAAAUUUUCUAAAAUGAGUUUUUCUAAAUAUGUACAACAUUUAAACAAAUCAGUUCUAUUUUAAUAAUUAAAAUCGUUGGGGCGUUGAGCUCUAAUUAGGCAUUGGUUGAUGCGUCACUUAAGUGAGGUCUUGUGAUAGGACAACAUUUGAUGCAUUCCUUAAGUGAGGCAUUGUGAUAGGACGACCAUUGAUGCAUCACUUAAGUGAGGCGUUGGGAUCAACUAAUGAUCGUUGAAAACCUUACACAUUGGAAAGACUUGAUGUGUUCUUAAUUGAACGUUGAGGUCAACUAUAAAUGAUUGAGGCCAACUAUAUAUAAAUUAUUGAGGCAUUAUACAAUAAACUCAUGAUUGUUUGAACUCAAUCUCUAAACAAAGAGCUUCUCUUUCUCACAAUUUCUCUCAAUCUUCUCCCUCUCUAUUCUUGGUUUUUGAUUAAAAAAAAAGUGUUUUGGCUAGUGUAGCUACAAUCGAAAUUUUGACGCUCUAAGCAGUGCCGCGAAACAUCUUAAAAUUGUUUAAUCUUGAGAACUUUUGCUUGUUUGUUCUUGAACCACAUUUUAUUGGAAGAAGUUUCACAUUAUUAUACCAUAUGUAACAUCUUAGACUCAUUAUUCGAAAUUCAAAUUUGACACAUAAAAUUGCCUUGACAUCGACUCAAUACCAUCUAAAUAAAAUAAUUCAAAAUUUUGCAACAUUUCCAUUGCUAUACAACCUCAAGUGGUGCAAUAUAAUUAAGAUGGAGACAAUGGUAGUGAGAGAGGGAAAGUCGAGGAGUUUGGCCAUUUUUGAAGGUUAAUUUGUUUGAUUACUAUAAGGUCUUCGGGCGGCCAAUACUUUGUAUAAUAAUGCCAUUCUUAUGUGUCCUUUUUCAACUUAUAUGAGACAAUUUUUUUCUUUUUUUUGAAUAAUUCAACCAAAUAUUGAAUUUGUAACACAGUUUCUAGGAUCUUGACGAUGAAAUUGAUAUCACAUGUUAAAUCUUUCAUCUCUUUUAUCUCUAUCUCUAUCUCUACUAUAUUCAAAGUGUAAGUUGGGAGAAUUUUUACAUUUCCAUAUUUACUGAUUCUCAUUUCGGGAUUAAAGAACACCAAUGGAAUCAAAAUUUGAGUGAAGAACAACUUUAAUUUUAUCUUCCAUCAUUCGCUUACUUGUGAUUUUCUCUACUAAACUCUUGCACAGGAUUUUUAAAAGAAGAAAGCAUAAUGCAAAAACUGCUACUGUGAAACAUUUCAUUUAUAAAAAGUUGGCAUCCUUUCCAUAAAGAAUUAAUAGUGGUACGAAUGAAAGGGGUGAAUAAGAAAACCAAUUACACAUAUUUAUGUGAAAAGGUGGGCGUUAUAACACAUCUUUGAAAGAGUGGAGAGUAAAAUAAGUAACUUUUUUUUAUAAAAAAAGUGAGGGUAAAAAAAUUCUCACAUUUAGUUAACUAAUACGAUAUGAACUAAUCGAGUUCACAUAUAAGUGCGAUUCUACAUCUUUUUUGUUUUACUACAAAGAUAGCAAAAUUAAUUGUAAUCACCUUCUUCUAAGAAAGAUUUUGUCUAUGAUUAUGUUGGUAUUAACAUCUAUGAUUAUGUACUACAUAUAUAUGAAAUAAAUUUUUAUACUUAUGCAAUUAAACAUCCAUUUGUUAAAACAAAAACAUUAAAACCUUGAAUUAUUAGGAGUUAUUAUGUUAGCUGACCAUUUAAUUAUUUAAAUAUAAAAACAAUCUAUUUAUUUUAAUAAACCACAUUUUAAGUGGACUAAAAUAUGAUACUAAAACAAACAUUUUAAAAAAUUAUUAUUUUAGAUAUUUAAAUUCUACACAUACACACAACACACAUUAACUAAUUAAUUUUCAAAACUAAAGCUAUUAUUUUAGAUAUUUACAAAUAUAAUAUCUAAAAUCAACUCAAAAACAUCCAAAUUUAGAAGAUAUUUAAAACUCAAAUUCCAGAAAAGCUCUAACCCUUUUUCUUUUUCUUUUUCUUUUUCUUUUGGGAGAAUAUAAACAUAAAUAAUAUCAAGCAAAAAAGUCCAAAUCCUAUAUCAAUAUCAAAUCAAAAGAAAAUUUUGUUAAAGAAAGAAAGAAAGAAAGAAAGGCUGAAUUAUUCAUUUAAUCAGGAUCUCAUAAUUGAAAUAUUUGAUUUAAAGUAUUUUAAUGUGAUGAGGAUCCCACCACACAACCACAUCACCAUCCUUAUCAUCUUCUCUAUCUUUUCUUCAAAUUUCCAAACAAUAAUGCAAAAUUGAAGUCCCCACACGCAACCUCCCUUUCCCAUCACACAUCUCCUCUUUCUUUCUUUCUUUUCCCCUUUCUCUUCCCAUACAAACAUUAUUCUGUGUGCUCUGAAUUAUCUAGUCUUUUCUCUCUAUUGAAUCUGAAAUUAUUAACUAAUCACGGUUAAAGUUAUUUCUUAAUCAAAAUCAUCACUAAUUUAAAGUUACAAACACAUGAGUUGAUAGAUUUCGAAUCUCACAUGUUUUCACUCUAACCAUUUAAUCAAAUAAAAUAUUUUGGUAGUUGAGUUUAAAGAUAUAUUUAAUUUGGUCCAAAGACAAACUAAACCCUACCAAAUUUAAGACUCCCGAGCUUUAGAAGUCUUCCAAUAAUUAGAAUACUCUAUAACUUAUGAAGUUGAAAACUUCUUAAAGAUACCAAGUUUUUUGAAGAUAUAAAUACUAUUCCAAAGCUUGAUUGUGAAAAACUUUUUUACGUUAUUCAUUUUUUCAAAUCAAGUAUGUACUUUAAUCAAAAGAUAAAAUACUAAAAAUUAAAUAUUAAAUAAGUUCAACUCCAAAAAAAACAUCUUUUCUUUCACAAACAUCAUUCAAAUUAUAAUUAAUAUUUUUUUCAAAUCAUAAUUAAUAUUUUUUUCUAAUUAAUAAUUAUUAAAAAUUAUUGUGAGUUUGAAAAUAGUUUAACUAGUUAAUUAGUUUAGUUACAUAUAUGUUUGAUUGUGGUUAAAUUUGGAAUUUAGACUCAUUGAUAAGUAUUAAGCUAAGAAGUAUGUUUUCUAGUCUUGUGUUUUGGGUUGUUCACCAUCACAUAUAUUAUAUACACAUAUAUUUUUUUUUUUAAAAAAAAAAGAAACUUUUUGCCUUUUGAAAAAGUAACCAUAUAAUUUUUUUAAUGGUAGACAACAAAGUUGGAAAGUACAUUUAUAUAUAUAUACAUAAUGGUUUUUUAGGAAUAAUAAUAUGUUUUAGUUAAAAAGAAAAAAAGAAAAAAAAAAUCUAUGUCCAUUGUGUAGAAUAUUCGUAAACCAAAUUCCAUGUGCCAACUCACCCUCAAAUUCCAUCCACCUUCCCUAUAUAAAUCUUCUCCGCACCCUUUCUCAAAAUUCCAUUUUACACAAAGAAAAAAGAAUAACAAAGUAAAAAUGUCGGCAAUGGUAGAGUCAUGGAUGAACGAACUGGGAAAAUGGAGAAACAGAGUUGAAGCUCAAGACAACAACAACAAGAAGCCAUUGAUGCCCAAAUCCAAGCAACUCCAAACAGAUCACUUCAAACAACCCGCCAAAACCCAUAUGGCGGAUUCCGACGACACAGAAACCUCCGUCCUCUCUGAAUCCACCAUUUGUUUGCUCAUAGAUCGCUUUGCUCCUUUAUGAUUAUGCUUUCUUUCAAUAAUUCCUCUUCCUCUCUUUUAAGUUUUACUCUGUAUAUUGCUGAAUAUAUAUCUAAUAUAAUUGUAAAGGAAAUAGUAAUCUAGUUUUGUCCACUGCCACCUUGUACGCCUGCCGGCCCAUACUGCUUGUGAUGCUCUGUUUCUACAAUUCCUCUUUCCUAUGUUUUCCUUUGUAAUUCUAUGUUGAAUAUAUCUUAGGGUAUGAUCUGUAUUUUUCUCACCGCCGUUGCCAGAUUGGAGAGAUGAGGAGUCCGGUGGGUGGUAGCGGCGGUGGUGGUGGUGGCCGGUUUGGAGACUUUAUGGCUUUCUCCUUUUCAAUUAUGCCUUGCAGAAUUUCUGUAUAUAUUUCUUUAAUCAUUUUUUUCUAAUUAAUAAGAUUUUGCUCUUCCUUUUUGUUGUUUGAAGUAUUAAUAUAAUAAAAUUUACCAUAAUUGAAGUUAUCAAAUUUAAUUUUUAAAUUAUGGCAUAUUAGUGUAAAUCCAUUUUUAUAGUUGUAAUUAAUGAGUGUAAUUUGAAUGUAGAAUAAGAAAAAGAAGAGCAAGAUCCAUUUUGUCAAGUUAUUAAUUCUUUUCUUUAUCUUAUCUUUUCGUGAUUUCUCCGUCUCGACUUCUAGAAUUUCUUUCUUUUUUCAUUUCUUAAAAUUCUCAUCGAAUCGAUUCAAUAAUGUUUGACAUUUCUCAUAUAUUUUCUCUUUCAGAUUUAAAUGAUCGUAUACCAACUUUUAAAUGAUAUUGGUUCAAGAUCGUAUACAAAAUAUAAAAGAUCUUGGCACAUAAUUGUAAAUCAAUAUCGUUUAGAUUUUAUACACGAUCGUUUAGCUCUUGGUACUUGAUUGUAUAUCAAUAUCUAAACGAUCUCGUUUCACGAUCGUUUAGAAGAAGAAUUUCACACGUGGGUAUUACUUAUUAAUCGCAUGUUGGUUGGAUAAUUUGGUAUUUUCCUUUGCAGAUUUUUUCCGUUUUUCAAAAGUAUUUUAUACCGUGUAAGUAUAUUGCUCGCUUAUUAUAUUUUUGAAAACCUUCCAGAUUAAUUUACUGUUAUCAAACACAAACACGGUCUAAAAAAGUUAAAUUUUUUAAGUUUGUGUUUAUAACUUAUUUGUAUUUUGUAUUUAGCAUUUCUACAUCUAAAUUUAGGAAGAUAUUAAUGACAUCUCUCCAGUCUAAUUUAGUUUUUCUAUCUCAUAAUUAAUUUAAACUCAUUUCAUACAUCACUAAAACCGCAUGCAUAACCAAAUACUAUUUCUAAUUCUACUAUUUGCAUGACGACAUGCCUCGUCAACCUACGUUUAAUCAAUUCAAAAAAAUUUAAAACUAGUAUCAAUUACCAAUUUUUUUCUAUUUUUAUUUAAAAAAUUUGUUCUCUAGUAGAUAUAUUAGUUUUCAAAAACUACUUAACAAAAUAAUUUUGGAUUUUAAUAGCAUGUUUAACACCCUCGUUUUUUAGCCAUUGUUUCAAAAACACUAUAAAUACGUUCUCAUCAAACAUUUUUAGACUCACCUUUCUCAACCGCGUUAAUCGCUUAGAAGCAAAACUAGUGACAUCUAACAAGCAUGGAAAAUCAAAAACCUUUUACAGUCUCCAUUGUUGUGAUGGUGAUAUUCGCAUGUUUUGUUUUAUCAAGUAUGCUCUUAUUAUCUCAUAACCCCUUCUUAUCUCAUAAUGGUAUGUUCUUUUGCGUGAAAAAAAAAAAUAUUAACAAUUAAUAUUGAUGUUUUAUCACAUGUGGCAGCAAAAGGAGACAUGUUGUUGAAUUGUAUCGGGCCUUGUUCAAACCCAGAUGAUAAUGUUUCGUGUAACAACGAUUGUCUCAAACAAACUUAAAAACAGUGGAUUUUGCUAUCCCAAGUUAGAUGGUUCUUCAAACGAAAAAGAUUGUUGUUGCUAUAUCUGAUGAUGAAACCCAAAAAAAAAAAAAAGUUGUAUAACCUUGAUUUGAAAUGGUUAAACAAAGUCAUAUUGAUAGAAAUUCAUGUUUAUUUAUUCAUCUUUCGUACUCUUUUGUCCUUAUAAACAUUAAUUAUUUUACCUCUUUGAGAUAGUUGCAAAUGUUGCAAUUAAAAUUAAAUAUUAGCAUACAUAACAACAUUUUAAAAAAAUUUGCGAAUGUAACAAAAUUUGUCAAAGUCUAAAAGCGAUAGAAUAAAUUUAUCACCGAUAGAUUUUGCUAUAUUUGCAAGUUUUUUAAAAAUGUCUCUAAAUGCUUAAUUGUUAUUGCUAAAAUUACUACCUAUUAUAAUUACCCAAUAAAUUUUUAUUCAUUAUUGUUUAAAGAAAGAUGUUAUGCAUUUGUUUGAGAAUGUGCAAUAAUGUUGUUAUGAAUAAUACUAACGGUCGUGCAACGAUAUUUGUAAUAAGAUGUAGAACAUCGUUUUUGAAAUAAUAAUUGAGCGAUCUUUUAUGCUAAUAUAAUAAAAUGAUGUCAAUAAAAUAUUGCAUUAUUACUAAAGACAUGUGAGCAAAGUAGCACAAUUUUUAAAAACAAAACCCAUUCAAAAUCAAAUGGCUAUCCAACAAUGCAUUAAUACCCUAAAUUUAAAAUUUUCGAACAUUACUAAAGUGAAUAUAAGUUAAUUCUUUAGCUCUACACUAUACUCUAUAAGAAGAUCAAGAAUUUACAAGCACUUGAAUUGUGCUACACUAUUUUAUUCUAUAGGAAAUAACCAAUGAAAUAUAAAAUGCAUUUUUCAAAUAUUUGAUUAGCUAUGUGAAGCUGCUUGCAUCAACACUAGUACAUGAAAUUUCAGUAAUGCUGAUGUUAGGUUUGUCAACUUGCCAUUUGAUUAUUUCCCUUGCAUAUCUCAAAGCAGCAUUCACAUUUUCGGGCUCCAUCCCUGUUGUUUGUGAAACAAACAACUUUUUAUCUGUCAAAGAACAAAACAGUCUCUUGAAUUUCACUGCUAUGUACUGAAACGCUCGUUGUGCCAAUGUCGGGUUCGUGCUGCUGCUACUUCUUCCAGUGAUCAUUGGAUUGAAGUCAACAAACCACUCACAUUGAGCAAGAGGAGCGUGGAUGAUCUUUUCUUCGAAGAGAUCAAACUUGUUCAGUAUGAGAAGGAAGUUCUUUCCUCUUGAGGCUUGAUGUGUCACAAUGCUUUCAAACAGUUGCUUGCUUGCGAUCAUUCGGUUCGUUAGAACUCCGUUAUCAUCCUCGUCAAAUUCAUCGUAGUCUGUUAAAUCCACACAAAAUAAAAUUAUUUUUGUGUCGUCAAACAUCUCCAACAAUUUGCAGUUUUCUCCUAGGGUACUGGAAUGGACUCGAAUCAGCUGGUACCUAAAAGAGGAAGGAAUCGGGUUUUUUUAGCUGAUGAUAACUUUAUGCGACUGUAUGCAAAAAUCUAUGCAAAAAGCAACCUUAUUGACAGAUCGUGCUGAUAAGGAGGGUCGAGAAGGGAGUCUUGUCGUGACUCAGGGAACGUGAACUCCAUGCUACUGAGGCUGUUGCACGAGGUGAUUCCCUCAGCGUACAAGAUAUCAUUGUCAGAAGGGUCAUACUCUAUGCUUGAAAUGUCAAUUGCCUGCGUUGAUAAAGAAAUUUACUUUGGUAAAGAUGAUGAUCCUGAAUCAUGAUCAAUAGUCCACUAUUCAAAAGCAAGACACCAAUCAGGGGAAAACUAAUGAAAUUUGACAAACAACUUGAAUUACAUCAAGGUGAACCCACCCAUUACAGGAAAAAGAAAACUUAAAUCAUUGGAAAAAAAAUGUCACCUUUUAAUGUUACUGCAUAAUGGUUUUGAAUUCUAAGCUAAAAGUCGAGCAUGCUAUUUCAACGUUCUUCAAUAACUAGGAAGAAACCUCCAUGUCUACAAGCAUCCGUAUAGCGAAAGGUCAGAGGCAUUGGUGUUUUUAUGUCGGUAACCAAAUGAUCAAAAGGGUUAACAUAUUUUAUGGUUAAAAAAAACGUUCCAAUAGAGUCUAUAGUUCAAAUGAUUUUUACAAGCCCUAAAACUUUCAGUGUCCAAUUUAUGAUCUGGAAAAAUGCUCCUUUUGUCACCAAAUUUUGAAUCUAGUUUUUAUAUGGUUCCUCAAUUUCAAAUGUUACACCUCACCUAUGAGUUCAGAAUUCAAUUUCUAUGUGUCCCUACAUAAAUCCUAGUUUCCAUAUGAUCCCUAGGUUCCUAGAUUUCAAAAUGUUGCACUUCUGCCCUUGAGUUCUAAAUUUAGUCUCAUUCGGUCUCAGGUCAAUAUUUCAUACUUUUACCCUCCAAUUUUCGUUAAUGCUCAAAUUUGAUCUUCAGUCUUGAAUUUUAACAUUCCGUUAAUUAACUUAAAAUAAUUAUGAUGUAAAUUUUUUUAAUUAAUUUUGAUACUAUGAAAACUUAGUGAAAUUUAAUUUGAAUUAAUUUUUUGGUUUAGAGAAUACAAUCAACAUGUCACUAAGAUAGAGACCAAUUAGAUACAAAAUCAAAAGCCCAUACACCUAGUGAAUACUUCUCAACACUAUGAAUUAUACUGGUUUAUAAUGGUAUUAGAAACUUUUUAGAGUAAAAAUGUCUAAUGGACCCAUCUCAGAAACAACUAAGUUUAAUGACUAAACAUCCUACCUUUAACAAAGAAAGGUAUAAGAAAAAUUGCAAGAGAUUAUUUCUAAGGUGGAAUUCAACAGUAAUGACCCAGAACGUAAACUCACCCGAUCAAGGAAAUAAGUAGCAACUCGUGGGAGCAUUUCUAGUUCGUUCCUUCUACUGUACGUGGCUUGGAAGGCUUCAUCCUUCAACAACUCUUCCACUAAUUGACCAUACACACGUGUAGCAGCCGGGAAUAUGGUGUCAAAGUUCCCUGACACCACGACUUGAAGAAGCAAAUCUGCAAAUCCUUUCAGUUUAGGGCCAAGGGAAUAGAUGUCCUUACGCUCCAACUGAUUUUCAUUCCCUGUAACCACUGAAUAAUGUCAUUUGCUUUGCUCAUUGAACAUCAGAAUAAUAUAGUCAGGAUGAUAUGGUAAUUUAUCUACUGAAAUCUGUCGAAAUAUUUAAUACAAAUGAUCGACUAUCAGGGAAAAGUGAAAAUCAUCUGAAAAUGGAAUUACAACAGACCUGAUGCUGAUGAGCUGGACGGAUCAUUCACUGGUUGUUUAUUUUUCUCAUCCAUCAAAAUCUCUUCUUCGAAACGCUCUCGUCCUUCCAGUAGUAUAGUAAGAUACCAAUACAAGUUCCUUUGAAUCAGUAACUUAAUUGUUUGACGCUCGUCAUCAGAGAAAGGAACUUUAUAUAUUUGUUUGGCCUAAAAUGAAGAAAUGACUACUGGUCAGGAAGUAUAUAGGAUAAGCAUUUCUAUAUCAACAUUAUUCGUUGUACACUAAGGAUGGGAGGUGAAGAAUUGGGUAAAAAUAAGUUCAAAUAAACAUGAGAGACAUAAAGAAGUGGUAUGUAAUGAAUCCCAAGUACAACCAAGAAGGGACCUAACACUCUUAGCACAAUAAUGGUUAAGGGCUUGUCUUUUAUGAAGCAGGCGGCAGGCCCCACUGCAAUGUGCGUUGAGGCUUGAAAUAAAAACCUUUUGGUUUCAAUAUUUGAUUAGGUUGACAAGAGUGUGAAUAUGUGAAGAGGACAGCAGAAAGAAAUCAUAUAUUGGUGACAUAUAUGAACUUUACUAUGAAUUAAAAGCCUUUUCUGCAAGCCAUCUGCUUUCUUGACACAAGACUUUCAGGCAAAUCAAUGAACUUUAUUAUGAAUCGAAAUAUUUAUCAAAACAAUGAUCAAACAAGAACUAAAAUUAAGAUUAACAUCAUAAAUAGUAAGAAUUUUAACACGAUCAUAGGUAGAAGUUUUAAGAAGCAUAAAAUGUAGUACUAUAACUGAAAUUACCUGCUUGAAUAUGGUACUCGUGCCAGAUUUUUUGUGGCCAACAAGGAGAAGUUUAUGAAGUACUUUCUGCUCGUAAGAAACAGAUUUAGCUCCGUCCUCUAUUUCCUCUCCAGUACGAACAGAAUUAGAAGGAAUAGGCAAAGAAUAAAGGGCACAUGCAAGCCUCGUUCUAGUCUGCAGAGAUAGGUGAAUUAGUUGUUCUUGCAAAUUUGAUGUAUAUAAGAUAGAGCAGGAAAAACCAAACUGAACAUCAUCGCAUAAGGUUUACCUUGUCCCAUAUUUUUCCCCCAUUGUUCAUUCCUUCUUCCUGGUAUGAUCCAUCUGCACUAACCCAAAAAGAAGGUCUUCCUUCACAAGGCACUCCAGCCAGCUGCAAGCAACAUGAUCUCAUUUGUGUUAUUUGCGCAUACUUUUAUAUUUCAAUAAAGCUAAACUAAAUACGAACACUGGGUAAAAGAAAACCUUCAGUAUCCGGAGCUCGUUUUUAGUGAUCUCUCGAUUAUUGAUGCACACAUUCGUAUUGCCAUUGCUAGCAUUCCUCUUGAUCCGACCUCCAACUUCUAGCUGGGAGCUAACUAUCUGACUCGGUCCAUGUCCUUCCUGUUCAGUUAAAAACAGAUCAAAAAGUUUCUCAUGGUGCAAAUCGCUUCUUCUACAUGCUCAAAAGAUAAAAUAAUAUCAAUCAAUCAAAGAGAGAGGACCUUUCCCCAGAAGCCUGAUUCUUUGUCAUACCAAUAUUGUCCUGGUUUUAGAUUCUUUGGUGGCUUUCGACAACUUCGCAACGUAAGCAGUUCCUGUCGACUUAAAGGAUCGCCAUUGACGUAGAUAAGUCUUGCUGGUAGUUGGUUUAUUUCACACUCUUUCUCAUGCAACAUUGCGCUCUUAAUUUCAUAGUCAGAAAGCAACCUCUUGAGCACUUUAGAGCUUUUACCCAAGUUCUCCCUUCUUGAUUCAUCAAUCCUAUACCCAAUGCAAGAGAUACACUUCCUUCCUUCUGGCAUUGCUCCCAUUGCUCUGAUUAUACAAUCAAAGCAAUAUUUGGCUCCACAAACAAUGCAUACUUCCUUUUCAGUGAAACGGUUUCCUUUAAGGCAGAAGUAGCAUGAUCCUUUUUUUCCCUUCCUUUCAGCUCGAGGCAUCUCUUGAAUGCUUUCACCCUCAAAUUGACUUGACUCAGCCUCUUCAGAAAUCGUGUUGCUCGUAUGGGGAUCAAGAAAGGUAACAGCUGAUGGCCUUCUGCCAUGCCUACGCGUAGUUUCAUAGUCAACUUCCUCUUCCUCUCUUACAGCAAAAAUUCCAGAAGACGAACUCAAACCCGAUUCUACUGAUUCCGAGUCGCUGGAAUUCGUAUAGCCUUGAAAAUCCUCUUCAUUCUUAAUUUCCAAUGAUUCUACCCCUCCUAUUCUUCCUUUCAGCUCAUUGAAAUUCUCAAGUUCACCAGAACUUUCAACUCCAUCACACGAAUCGAUAUUACAUUUAUCUUCCUUAUUGGCAUGGAGGCAAACAACCCCAUCUUCCUGGAUUUCUGAAGUUGAAGAAAUUACAGAAUUAGGGCUGGAACUUGAACCCUUCUUUAGUUUCUUAACAAUGGGUUGUAUCACAGGCAGAGAUGAUAAAUCAUCACUGAAUUGAGAUGAUGAAAGAACCACAGAAGCCGUUGGAAUAUAAUCAACAUUUAUAGGAACUGCACGAGGAAUCUCGUAACUAAUUCCAGGACCUUUAUACUCCAUGGCAAAAGAAUAUUCACCAGUAAAAUCCACAUGAUUAACAGGAGAAGAAGGCUUCUCGUGAAAAAGUUUUUUAAGAAUCCCAGCCAUAACUCAACAAUUCAACAACACAAAUUUUAACACAACAAAUCUAACGAUUUAAACAAUUACAACCCAACCCCAUCAAGCAUAACCAAUCAAACAAGCCCACAAAACAGAGAAACAAAAGAUCGAUCAAUCAUCAAAUCCAAAUGAUCGAAGAGAAAAAAGCUCCCAGUGGAGGAAAAUAUCGAAAGAAGAAGUUACAAUUGUGAAUUAGUAGGAACCCAUGUUCAAGAAAGUCGAAUCAGAAGACUUUUUGACAGUGGGGUUCAAGGAAAACGAGUGUGCUGUUAAAGAUAAUAAUAAAAAAAAAAAAUGGUGGGAAUGGAAAUGCUAUACUCAGUCAACACAAAGACUAGAGAGAAGACUUUGGAUUAGUAGAAAAAUGGGUUCAAUGGUGGAAAAGAACGCGUUCAAGUAAGAAGAAAACUGACAAGAAAGGGACAUAAAAGAGGAAAUUUAAGAGAGAAAGUGGAAAAGAAGGUAGGUGUUGGUCAUUAUUAUAAUCAAUUACAUUACAAUACGUCAAAUUAGAAAAGCAGAGAAAUUACCAGUCCCUUCCUUCCUUCCUUCCUUCCUUCCUUCCUUACUUCAUUCCACGUUUUUGCUUCCGAUUUGUCUAAGAUGAACUCAAAAUUGAAAGGCAAUUAAGAACAGUCUGCCACUGAGAGAAGGAAAUAUUGCUUUGAAUUUAUUUGUCGUGCCUAACACGAGAGCGGAUGUGUGAGAAAUUUUACCGUAUUCUCCAUAGCUUUAACAAGAAAUCUGUUGUACUGUUGUAACUUUGAGAGAAUUUCUUACAUUUCUUGUUCUUGGUUCUGCAAAGGGUUCCAUGAUUAUUGAAUUCAGUACAUUAUAAUUAAUAUGCAAAGUUUUUAAGACUGAAACAUUACUUUUUUUCUUUUAUAUUUUUAUUAUUUUAUUACAACUCAAUAAAUUUAUAUAUAUAGCAAAACUUCUACCUUUUAUUUUCAUUUUCAUUUCAACUCUUUUUAUUUAUUUUUAACUAUGCUAAAAUCCAAAUAUGGAAACCAUAAAAUAUAAUAUAUAAAUAAAUUAGAUAUGUAAGAAAAUUCAAAUUUCUCUACCUCCUCUCAAUUUCAUUGAUUUAUAUAUGUGUCUCACGAAUCUACUAAAUGUCACUAUUUAUACACAAUUUGGUAGGCAUGAACUAGAUUACAUGACAAUGUGAGUAUCAUCUAGACUUUUGUUAAUGGUGUUGAAUGAUUAAGAAAUUGACAUGUGGUGGACAUCUAUUUAUUUAGUAUUUAUAAUAUUUUUUUUUUCAUUUGUACGACCUUAUAGAAUUAAAUACUUUUUCUUAUUUUAUAUGUUGGAUAUUGAAACUACAUUUCAAACUUAAAUUAAUAAUAAUAAAAAGUUUGAUUAAUUUUCUAAAUUUAUGUUAAAUAUUAAAUAUAUUUUGUUUGAUUUACAAAAUUGAAAAUUUAACAACUUUAGAGAUGCAAAAGGUAUUUGAAUCACUCAAAUAUAAAUUUAAAAUUUAUGACCUUACAUCUUCUUGAGAAGACUUCUAGUUCAUGUUUAUGUUUCAUAAUUAAAAUUAUAAAUUUAAAUUUGAUUCAUUCAAAUCUCUUUUAAAUUUCUAAAUUUGUUAAUUCCUGAAUUUUGUAAAAAACAAUGAUUUACAUAAACUUAGAAAAUUAAAUAAGCAUUUUAUUGUUAAUUGAGAUGUCUAAGGUAGUUCACUGUUAUACAAAUGAUGUACAAAAAAUUAUUUUACUCUUUUAAGAAUGAACUUAUAAAAAAGAAAUGAAAAUAAAAGAAAAACAUUUAUGUAUAUAUAAUUUUAUUAAAUCACAAUAAAAUAAUAAAAAAAAUGGUAGAACACUUAACAAAAUAUUAACCCUUCAUAAAAAAUUGUGUAAUAAUUUAUCAAAUAAAAUUUAUCUUUUUAAUGAUUUUGUGGAUGAAGUGUAAAUAGUUUGAUAAUGGUUUUGUUUUUGAAAAAGAUUCACUAACAAAAGUAUAAAACAAAAUUUAAUGGUUUUUAAUAAAUAAAUAAAAAAUCACUAUUUUUUUUUGCAAAUAGUUUCAUACAUUCGUUUUUUUUUUUUUUUUUGCAAAUGUUUUACAAAACGGCCCUAUUUUAAUACUAAACUCCAAUUCUUAAAAGAAUGCAAACAAAUUUUUUUUAGUUAUUUUAAAAUUUGUUUGAAUAAGAAACACAGGUAUAAACUAAUAAAAAAUUUAGUUACAUGUCCAUUUAACUACUAUUUCUUAAUAUAAUAAAAUAAAGAUAUAUUUUAAAAAUAGCAAAAUAAAUUAAAAUAUUUAUAAGCUAUAGCAAAAUUUUGAAUUCUAUCACUAUAGUCUUCAAUCACUGUAGAAAAUUAAUGACUAUCAGUGAUAGAAUUUGUUAUAGGUUGUAAAUAUUUUGUAAAAUCUUAUACUUUUAGAAAUUCCUCUAAAAUAAACCGAAAUAUUUAUAAAAUAUAACAAACUUUUAAAUUUUAUUAAGAAUAAAUACUUAUAACUUUUAUGGGUGUAUAACAGUUCACUAAUAGAAAUUGAUAGAAAUCUGUAUGUGCUAAUAAUAAAUAGAAUCUAAAAUUUUAUUAUAUUUUGUAAAUAUUUUCAGUAAUUUUAUCCUUUACAAUAAUUUUUUUCUAUUCAAUUUUUAAAUUGUAUAAAUAGCAAUUUUAGUCCAUAAAUUUCUCGACUUUAAUAGUAAAAUGAGAGGCAAAAUAUUCUCCCCUCUUACCUAUUUUAUAUAAAGUACAGAUUUAUAAUUAUCGAUGAACUGAUGAGCAAGAUAAUUUAAAGUAUAAAGUAAAUGCAAAAUAAAUAAACAAAUAUUUAUUUUUACAUCGCGAGCUUUAAAACUUGUUAGAGAAAUAUGGUAGUUUAGAGAAGUCAUAUGAACUUCUUCCGAAUUAAAAUUGAGGCAACGAGAUAAAGUUUAUGUCUCUACAAGAAACAUCUUUACAAACAUUCUAAUAGAUGUGUUGUCUGGGUGCAAUGGUUCUUAUCAUCGUUUAGUGUUUGAUUAAAAUUUUCCUUUUUUUCUUUUUAUAAAUAAGGUGAAAUAAAAAUGAUUCUAAGAAAUAGAGUAGAUAACUGUGGACAUAGCACGUUCUUGAGUUAAUAAAGAAAUUGUUUAUGUAAUACAUGAUUAGGGCCCAAAUUGUGUUUUGCACAUACUAGUACCAAAUGAAUGUCAGUUGCAUGUACGCUCCAUACCAUGUGUACUACAUGUAAGUGAUUAGAGCUUAAAUUGUGUAAGAUUAACAUGACAUGGGUCUAACCUAGACACGUGACAUGGGUCUAACCUAGACACGCAUACUGGCAAUUGUGUCAUAGAACUUGUGUACCAUAUACAUGAGUUCCAUAUGUGGCUUGUGUGCAUGGUAAUACUAUUUUGACAUAUGACUCAUGUAUCAUAUACACAAGUUCAUAGUUCUAAUCACCUCAAAAUAUAACUUAUAAAUAUUUUAAAAAAUACUGAAAUUUGUAUCACUUUCACGUGAGAAAUUGUAAAUUUGACUCACGGAUGACAAUAGAUUGAACAAAUUCACCCAAAUUGAAUUUGAUUUCUCGUGAUCACAAAUAAGUGAAGAAUUACUUGUUUUGAAUAUCCUAUUUUUUCCUGAUUUGAUUUUCUUCCAAAUAAAUAUUUGACUUAAGAUUUAGGGGUAAGUAUGAUAAUAGUCUUCUCUAUCACACCUAAUUUCUUUGUAUGUUUUACAAAGGGAAAAAAGGGUGAGUAUUGCAUGUUCUCAAAUUUGAUUCACAAACAUCAUAAAAGCAUGGUGAAUAUGAGAUUGGUAAUUAAAGGCAUUAAUUACCAUUUUUAGAGGAUGAUGAUAUUUUAUCUCUACAUUUACCAUUCUUCAGCUCAAAAGAAAUUUUAAACGCAUAGUACCAAUUUUAAAUUCACCAUUUAUAAUCAUAAAAGUCAAAUUAACCCAUUUUGGAUGGGAAAAAUAAAGUCUAAGAAAGUUUGAGUAAAAUUCCUCAAAACAAAAAAAACAAAAAAAAAGUUUAGUAAAAUAUGUUAAAGAAAAUAAUAAAAUAAGCAGUAAAAAAUAUAACACUAGUAACUAAAAAAUAGUUUAAAAAAAUAUGGAAAGAUAGAGUUCGGUACUAAAGUUAAGUGUAUAACGACAUAUAUUAUAAACGAUUAAGUAGGAAUUGACAAAAUUUUGUUACACUUGUAAAUUCUACAAAUACUUUAGAUUUGAUUGUUAUAUUUGUAUUGUUUACAAACUAGAGAAAUUGAAAUACAAAUAUUUUUUUAUUUAAUCUCUAUAACCCAUAUUUGGAAUGAUUUUAAAAUCUUCAAAAUCAUUUUUGGUUAUUCUUAAAAUCUAUUUAAAAUAUGUUUUUAAUUAUUUAAAAUUAAUUUAUUAUCAAAUUUCACAUUUUUAAAUAUAUUUUUUACAUACUAAAAUUAGUUUAGAAGAAUUAAAAAUAUAGUCCUAAAUAAUUUUAACUAUUUUAGGAUGAAUCUCAAAUGUGUUAAAAAGAAAAUAUUUUUUUCCAAAUACUAAUUAAUUUGGUUCGAAAAUUUUUAAAAAUAGUCAAGUAAAUUAAAAUAUUUAUAAGUUAUAGCAAAAAUUUUAAUUUUAUCAAUAAUAAAAAUUGAUAGACUUCUAUCACUGUUUGUCAAUGCCACCCAACGAUGGAAGCAUAUCAGUGUCUAUCAUCAAUGUUUACUAUCGAUAGAAUCUAAAAUUUUGCUAUAUGUUAUUAAUAUUUUGUCAAACCUGUUAUUUUUGACAAUUUUCCUUUAUUUUAAAAAACGAAGAAUAACGCAUCCACUAAUGACAACUUAUAACAAGGGGUGCUUGCAAAAAUAGCAAAAAAAAAAAAUUAUGAUAGUAGAGUUCAUGUCACUACAUUUUCUAAAUUGUAAAAGUAGCAAAUUUAAUAAAGUCAAUAACUCUUUGAUAACACUCCUAUAGUCUUUCGCAAUAAUAGUUUGAUAUCAUUAAUUACUUGUCAUAUUCACAAUAUGCAAAAAGAUGUGUCAUUAGCUAUUUUCUCUAAAUAUUUUUUUUUUUUGUCAAUUUUCCUUAUAUAUAUUCACAUUACCUUCAAUGUCAUGAGCGCUCUUAGGUCGGUAGAGGUAUAGUUUUGAAAAUGGUCAUUCCUUUGUUAAUUCUCAAACCAUUAAUUAUAUAUACUUUUAGGAAUUGAAAGAAUUAUUUCAUUUUAAAAACCCAAGCAACCAUCGUCCUUAAUCAAAAGAAUUAACAAUCUUAGAACCUUUUGUUUUGUUUUUUCUUGAGUGAAGUGUGACGUAAUUUUAAUUGGACUAGUUAAUGAGGAUCUUUUUACUAAACAAGAAAAAAAAUGGUACACUUCAAAUUGUCAAAAUCUUUGUCUAAAAUGGAAGAAAAUAAACCCAAAAAAAAGUUAGAAUUCCUCAAGAUUUGCAUAACUACUUGGUCAAAUUAGGUUAGGGGAGAACAAGUAUUUGACAAUUAAAGAAAUUUAAAAUAUAAGAGCAAUAGUUUGUGAAUCAAUUUUCCCAUUUUUCUCUAACUAAUGAGUGAAUUACAAAUAAAGUCAUUGUCAUGUUGAGAUAUGAAUAACUUCCCUUGUAAGUUAAAAGUUUAAAAAUGAUGUCCCUUAAAUAAUUCAUUUCUCAAAAAAAUUAAUUAUUUCAAAUAAUCACCUCAAAAUCAAUAAUAUCAUAUAUAUAUAUAUAUAUAUAUAUAUAUAUAUAUAUAUAUAUAUAUAUAUAUAUAUAUAUAUAUAUAUAUAUAUUAAUAAAAAAAUCAAACACCCUAACGUAUGGAUAUAAUAAGGCGUUAAUUGAUAUGAUCUCUUUUGAGUAUAACUUCAUGGCUUUAUUUUUUGUUUCACUCAAAUGGCAUCAUACCGUUAAAGAUAGUUGUCUACUUACUUAUAUCUCAUUCUUGUUGGGAAAACAGACAUCAUAAGAUCUCAAUAAUUAUAGGAUAUUGUCCACUUUAGCCUCGUGAUUUUAUUAUUUUUCUUUUUGUGUCAACUAAAAGCCAAAUACAGUUAAAGAUAGUUGUUUCCUCAUUUAUAUAUCAUUCUUUAAUGAUCAUCCAAAUAUCUUUACAGGUUUAAUAUAAUAAGGCCAAUAUAGGAUUUUGGGUCAUAGUCCUACAAUUCUCUCCUUGAAUAAAAGGACCAUCAAAAGUCUUCCCUCAAAUAAUCAUCCAUAUGUGUUUACUUCCAAGUAAUCACCUUUAAUUAGGUCAAUUUCUUUUCAUCGGAGUUCAUUCCCUAUGUCAUCAAAUCACAUCAACAUGAUUAAGUGUGAGGGGCAUGAUACUGAUACUAAUUUCUAAGAAGAACGAACCCUCCAACGAGACCUGUAUUUGAAUAGAAGGGUCAUUUUGGAAAAAUAAGAAGCUAAGUAAAGGAUUUUGAAAAAUGAAGGUUUUGAGAAUUUAGGCGUUUUAAUGACUUGGCGUUGAGUGAAAGCAACGUGAGGUGAAGGAAAAGACGGCCAAGAUUAACUGAGUAGUUUGAGGUUCAACACAAGUUGAAGUUAGGCGUUGAGAGUUAGGAAUUUGUUGGGAAAUUUCCUAAUCGUACUUAAUGGGUCACGUGUAAGGGCUUAAGCUAAGGAUGGUUUGAAAAAUUAUUAGACUUACACGUGUAUUACUUUAAGUAGGAGCUGACAAGCUUAAGGAAAAUUAAGGAUGAUUAACCCAAUUUAGGAUUAGUAUAUAAACAGAAAUGAAGAGUUAGUAGAACAGAAGAUUAUGCUUAAAUUCUUAAGGUUGUCGUUAAAAGGAAGACUCACUAUGCGAGAAGAAGGCCAUUUGGGGAACUAGGCAUUCUAAACAAAAGAAAAGCGUGUUGUGAGUGAUUUUCCAAAAAUGUUUAAAUAUUUAAAGCUUUCUACUAAAUUUCCUUAUUGAUUUGUAAUAACAUUCAUAUGAUAAUGUUUACAAAGAAUGAUUUCGAAAGAAAGUUUGUGUUAUGUUUAAAUGAUUGUAUUGUAUGUUAUAUAUGUCUGUAAAAAUUUAGUCUUAUUUCUCUCAAUGAAGCUAACUAUUAUGUACACAUAAGGAGUAAAGGAACCUAUGUAGAAAAUAACUGUAUGUGGAGUGAAAUUGACCAAUGCGUAAAAAGAGUGUAUUGAUCAGCUUGGUGACCUGAGCAACGAGAACUUGAACCAAGAAAAUUUCUAAGGAAUGUUGAUGAUGAAAAGGACGUUACCGUAGUCUAUGUGUGGGAACGGUUCAUGUUCUUGGAAGAAAGGAAUAUGAAAGGCUAGUGAGUGAUUUCUGUUUUAUGAAAAGAGACGAUGAAAACCAUAUUUAUGAAAAUGAUUUCACAUGUUGUCUGCAAAAGAAUUUUCAAAACUAUCACUCACUAAGCUUUGACUUAUGUUUUAAGUUUUUCAUCCCUAAGGUUUCAGACGUUAUGGCUAAGUGUGGAUAAGGAAGGUAAGUUGCUACACGAAGAAGCUAAGCAAGACGUUCUAAGUUUAUUUCAUAGAUUAUCUAUUUAAGAAAGUGUGUAAUAAGUGUAUUUUGAUCACACGCUUAUAAGUAAUAAAGUGAAGUUGUUUUUCUACACUGCGUUAUGAAUUUAUAUAUUUCUUUAUCGCCUAAUAUUUAAGUUUAAGUUCAAUUUAGUUGAGGUUAGGUUACUUGAAUUGCAUUGGGUGAGCAAGCUAAGUUCAACGACUUAAGUUGAGCAUUCUGACGUUUCAUAUACUUGAGGCGUCAUGCCUACUCAAGUCAGGUCGCAUUACGAAGUUAACAAUGGGUGUAGGGUAGGACGUGACACCAACAUAUUCAUAAUUGUAUGAUCGAUAAUAUUUGUUUUGGGUAUAAUCAUCACAAUUUUGGUUUUGAUUUCACCUAAAAGACAUUAUUUCAUUGAAGAUAAUUGUCCUUACUCAUACAACAUAAAUCCUCCCUAUAUCUAGCCAAUGUGAAAAUUUGUUUCGCACUCUAACACCAACAAUGAGACUAAGACCCACACAUUAUACCCAAAAGGCUAAGUCAUCUACAACCAUAUUUUGAAAUGAGUCAUAUGUAAUAAAAUUGAAUAUCCAACAAUGAACCAUGAACAAAAUACCUUUUAUUUCUAAUUUCACAUAGAACUAACAAAAUAGCUCUUGUUAACAACUGGACAACUAUCACGUUGCUCAACUCCACCAUAGUUGUAACAUCAACCUAACAUCUAUAUAUGUGAAAAACACACAUUAUUAACCUGAAGAAUUAAGUUUUCACCAAAGUUAUAGACAAUGUAAACAGUGCAAGCAACACUACAAGAAAAAUGUAAAACACGACUAAGUUGGUAACCCGGUUUAGUGCAAUCACACCUAUAUCUGAGGAGCCUUGAGUCCAAUCGAAAAGACCAUUUAUUGAAAUUCAAAAAAGCUCACAAAUAUAUAGCUUAUCAAGAAUUAUUGUCUUGAUAUACAUAACUUUGACAAGAUCAAAGUACAGACUACCUCUAGACCACCUAAAGCAUGAAUAAGAGCUUUAAUCUAUGCUCCCUUAGAUCAAGUACUCCACGCUUUACCCUUUUGACUUUAUUGCCCAGGCUCUCCUUGGGAGAGACACCUCAUAAUUCACUUAUAAUGUUAGGCUUCCCCUGACGUUUUAAAUCUUUUCAAUCUAGUGUAUUAUAAAGUCGUUAGUAAGGUGUUCAACACCACACACGAGAAUUUCUCAUAAGGAACUCAACGUCAACCUAAAACACCACUUGAAAUAAACAUCAUUGACUCAUGUUUUCCGCCUAUAUAAAACACCACAGUUCACAAGCUCUUGUUUAGAUCAAAGACCAAGAAAAUAACGAAAUCACUUGAAAACUUGAACAUGAAAUUAUACUAAUUUGAAUCCUAGUUAUAAGAAGAUCUUUAUAUUAAUCAAAGAUUCAAACUCUAAUAAUCUUUCCAAAUUUGAAUUUGAUGUCCAAUUGAUCCACAAAGUUUGAGAAAGAAAAGAAGAAAGAGUAUAAUCACUCUAAUAUCUAAAGUUUAGAAAAUAAUUUCAAAUAUUCGUUAAGUUGUUAGUUCAAAGAUGAUUUUGUCAAUAAAAUUUGGUGAGGUAUAUAGGUGUAAUGUAUUUAAUUAUUUUAUAAUAGACUUUAUGAAUUAUAAUUUAACACGUAUGUUAUUUAUAAUAUAUAUAUUUGAUUACAAGUCAUUAGAAAUUAGAAGGUGGAGAAAGCAAUUUCAUUUUUUCAAGUCAUCUUUUUAGUUCUUAUUAAUUAGAAAUUAAAAGAGUAUAUAUAAUAAUAAAUAAAUAAGGACAGCUUUCAAUAUUAAAAAAAAAUGAAUAAAUAAAUAAAAGAAAAGUCGAGAAUGCCACGUGGCUGAAGAAAAGGCAAUAAAAGAAUGUGGGGCCAUCAAUUAUAAGGUCCACGUGGUAUCGUUAAUUUGAUCCAAUCCAUUUCUUUAUUUAUAUAUUUAACAGAAAAAUCCUAUCUGUCUUUCAGUACGCUGCUUCGAAUAUUUCGCUCUUCUUCUUCUUCUUCUUCUUCUUCUUCUUCUUCGUCGGAGAUGGUGAAACCCAACCACUUGAAAAUGGUGACGGAUUCUGACGCUGCCGAUCUCAUUUCCUCUGAUCUCCGGGAACUCGGUAACGCUGCUAGAAAGCUUGCUACACACGCUGUUAAGCUCGGUGCUUCGGGUUUUACUGCUUCUUUUCUCCAAUGGAUUGCUUCCUUUGCUGCUAUGUAUGUUCCCCCCCUCUCUCUCUCUUUUCUGUUUGUUUGAUUUCUGAAUUUUUUUUAUGUUGUUUGUUUGUGGUUCUUCGCUGCUGAUCGGUUAUUUUAGUAGUUUUUUUUUUGCUGUGAGAAAGCUAAUUGGUGAUUUUGAUUCGAGGAAUUGAGUGUUUUUCAAUUGAUUUCUACUUGAUUUUAGUAAUUUGUUUGUUGAUUUAUGUGAUGAAGUGGUUAAGGAGUAUGACUAUGAUUUAGUUAGGGAAAUGAUUCGUGUUACAUUAAGAUAUGUGCUUCUGAGUGUUCUUUUUCGUGUUCCUUAUAUUAAUCUACUUUUAGGUUUUCAUAGAUCGUCUUAAUUUCACUUCGAUUCUUUUUAACUGCAGUUACUUGUUGAUUUUGGAUCGGACGAACUGGAAGACGAAUAUCCUUACUUCAUUGUUGAUUCCGUACAUUUUCUUUAGUCUUCCCGGUGUGAUCUUCGGUUUUUUCAGGUGAUCAUCUCCACUCCAAGCAAUUGCCUUCAAUUGAAGCUUCUGGAUUUGCGUUUUUUUUUUUCUCUUUUUUUUUUUUUUGGCUAAAUUGCUCUCUCUUUGCAGGGGAGAGUUUGGAAAAUGGGUUGCCGUCAUUGCUGUUGUGCUCCGUCUCUUCUUCCCGCGACGAUUUCCAGGUACAUUAGCCUCGACUUGAUUAAUGAUUACACAUUUAUUGAAUUCAUUUUUGGUUAAUAAUAAGUACAGAUUGUGCUAGCUGAUAAGUAUGUUGAUAUAGAUUUAGAGCCAUUAGUCGUUCUGAUCUUCAUUUAGAGAUUUUUGGAUGACUACCGCAAUUACUAGUUUUGAACUUUUGCUUUCUUCCCUUUUAGAUUAACUUUCUAAUUUAUGAACUGCUUGCUUUUGUUUUCUAAUUUGUUCCUUUACUUUUUUAAAAGUAUUUUUUGAAAUCUUAACUAAAUUUGAAAAGAAAUUUUCAGUGGUUUUCUGAAAACUAUGAGUUGCUUAAUUUUAUUUCAGAAACUGUUUGGUAGGAUGAUGUUUAUUUUGUUUUGAAAAAGAUGUUCUUCCUUCCUAUCACACAUGUUCUUGAUUUUUAAACAAUAUGUAAACAGGGAAGCUGUUUUUGAACAUGAUUUUGAAAGACCCAUCUCAUCUAUUUUCAAACUCUUUAAGCAUUGAUGUAAACAAACAAUUCACAAACAAAAACCCAUUAUCAAACCUCUUUGACAUCUUUGAGGUUAUGAAGUUUGACAGGAAGAACUUUAUAGUAAUCAAAAGAUCCAAAACUUUAGUUCAAAUAUAGGAAGUACCUUUAGGCAUUUAGUAUAUCUUCAAAACUUAUUUUCACAUUUGUAUUCCCAGCCCCAAGAUAAUUUGAUUCACCAAAGUUAAAAGGAACAAAUUACAUGUCAAACCUCAUUCAUAAUUAUUCACACUCCAAUCUUACAAGUAAAAGGGAUAUACGUUAGAUUUCAUCUUUAGGAUAUAGAUUUGAGAUUCGAGUUUUGUUUCAAUUUGAUAAUUGACCCUAAUUUUUUAAUUUUCCAUCUUGAAUGUUAAUCUUCAUUAAUUAAUUUCAGAGAAAUGUAAUUAAUUAACACUCAUUAUUAAGUAAUUUAAAAAUGUAAAUAUUAGGGACCAAAUUGGAACUAAACUCAAAACUUAACUAAACUAAGUAAUUAUAAAACAUUACGAAACUCAAAACUUAACUAAACUAAGUAAUUAUAAAACAUUACGAAAUUAGGGACGAAAAUAGUUUUUUUACUUAAAAGUUCAAGUUAAUAAUAGUAAUUUCACAUCACAUAAUUAAGUUACAAUCUAUUAUCCUGUGGAAGUAUAAUUAUUGCAUUCCAUGCUCUGAUUGUGUGGUAAUACAGAUUGGCUUGAAUUGCCUGGAGCUUUGAUACUUCUCAUUGUGGUGGCUCCAAGUUUGUUUGCCAAGACCAUAAGAAACGAUCCCAUCGGAGAAGCAAUCUGUUUGAUCAUAUCAUGCUAUUUACUGCAAGAACACAUCAGAGCCUCUGGUGGAUUCAGAAACUCAUUCACAAAAGCGAAUGGCAUCUCGAACACCAUCGGCAUCAUCCUUCUCUUCGUUUUCCCUGUCUGGGCACUGGUACUCCGUGUUCUUUGAUUGGUUUUUUCUUUUAUUUUCAAAAUGCAAUUAUGCAUUAUUGAUCUUUGCAUUUGUUUGGGAAUGUGGGCUUGUGAGAAUUGUGUUUACCUUUUUUUCUCUUCAAAUUGGGUGUUUGAUUGUCUGAAUGUAGGGGCUGUAUCAGUGUAAAGUUAGAUGAGGAGUUUCUCUCACAAAAGAUUUGUGUAUCAUUUCUUUGAGGGACAAAAUGUGAGAUAAUAUAGAUGUUAUUGUGCUACAAACAGACUUUAUUGCAAAUUAAUAAUAAUAAAUAAUAAAUCUAAAAUUUAAUAAUUAUUAUUAUUAAAAUAUAAUUUGUGGAUUACACAGAUAAUGUAAACUAGAGCAAUGGUUUUACGGUUGUAGAGAUGUUGAAUUUGAAAUUUUGAAAUUUUGAUGUGUAAACAUAUAUCUUAUUAAAAAAGGGUAUAAUUAAAGUGCAGAUUUGGCCCAUCUAUUUAUUUUAUAUAUAAUCUCUCUAUUUAUCAUAUUGUAAAAGAAUAAUGAUUAAUUUUUUUAUAAUAAAAGCAUUGAUGAGUUAUAGCCAAAGUUUUUACCUUUCUUAUGAAAAGAAAUUUAUAUAAGCCUAUUAUUGUCACACCUUAAUAGAAAUGGAUAAAAGUCUAUUAAAAAAAUGUAUAAAACUCUAUUAAAAAAAGGUAAAACUUUUGAAUAAAAAUCUAUUAAAUAAAGGUAAAACUAAUCUUUUAAUAAAGUAGUCUAUAAAAUUGAUAGGAUGUAUCAUUAAUACUAUAAUGGAUAGAAUUAUUGAUUUCUAUUUUUUCUUUUUUAGUUUUAACAUUUUUCGGGUGGAUGAAUAUUUGUCUGAGGAAAAAAAAGAAGAAGAUAUUGAUAUAUAGAUUGAUUGAUAGAGAUGGGCUAAUUUAAGACCACUUGUCUUUGUUGGUGGAUAGCACUCAAGUCAAGGGAAUGUGCCUAUCUAUGUGCUUUAAUUGGGUUAUAGUUGCUACCAAAACAACUUUCUCAACCCAAACUUGAACAACUCUAAGUCACUAUCAAAGUCAAAGAGAAAUAUUCUUAGGAUGUAGUGUAGGAUAUUCGAUUGGAUCUAUGGAGUCCUCCACAUUUCACCCCACACUCAUUUGUGUAGAGGGUGAGGUCGUCUUUUUCUUCACUUCACUGUUCUUCACUAUUCAUUUCUACAAAAUUCUCUAUUUAAUUCUACACGAAAUUGUGGUGGAGAUUCCAUGAAUUGAAAUCUCCGUCAGAAUUUUUUUUCUCGUACUUAAAAAGAAAGUAAUUAACUUAAUAACAAUUAUUGAAAUGAUUGUUUUUAAAUGUAGCAAAAUAGACUAAUAUAUAUAUAAUAUACCAAAUAUUAGUGCCUUUCUAGCGAUAGACAAUUAUAGACAAUAUCGAUCAUUACUUAUCAUUGAUAUACAAUGACAUUUUGCUAUAUUAAAAAUUAUUUUCGGUAAUUUUGUCGUUUAAAAUAAUUAUCCUUACAGAGAAAUUUUAAUCAUAAAGAACUUUUAAAAGUUCACGAACUCAAUUAAUUGUUACUAGAAUGUCAUUGCAACUAGUCUAAUGCUUUAUGAGUAGUUUUACGAUUUCUCUCUUUUUUUAACGAGUUGCAAUUGACAAUUACAAGAAAGCACUAGUUUUGAGAAAUUAAUUUAAAAAAUGUCGAACAGUUUAAUCACCUUUAAACUUCCUAAGAUUUUUGUUACUGCUAUGUGUGUGUGAAAAGUUCAGAUUUAAAGUCACACUUUGACAACUCCAAUAGUAAGUAAUAAAGCUUAUUGUCUGCCAAAUAUAUGUGUUCUUCCACAAAAACAAACACAAAAAUUGACAAAAUCACCACCACUCACUAUUUGCAUCAUAAUAUUCUCUCUUAUUAGAAUUUCAAAAGAAGCUAUAAUAUAAAUUAAAGGAUGGCUUCUUCUAAUAUUUUGUACAACACUAUUUUAAUAUGUAAUAUUAGCUAUUGAAGUUUUCAUUUCUUUGCGUUCUUUGCCUCUUCAUAUAGUUCAUCGAUUUGCUCCUGUAAAUGAAAUGAAACAGAAUAAACUCUCACAUUGCACAUCACUACAUACACUGCCAUCAUACAAUGAGAUAUAUCAGAAGUUGUAUAUAGAUUUUGGACUGCAGUUCAAGGUGAGGUUAACUAUUGUUUGCGAACCCACUUUUUCAGUAGCAUUUUCGAUAAAGAAAAUGUUUUUCAAAGAAUUUUGUGGUGCUUCAUGUCAUAAGACAGGGGAGUAGAUCCACACACGAUCUUUCAUCCAAUCCAAUCCAACUUGAAUUUUAUUAUUAAUUGUUUCUUAUUAAAUUAAAAUAUUUAAAUUUAUAUUUAUAUAACACAGUCUCUAAGACCUCGUUUGGUGAACAUUGUGUUUUUUGUUUUGUUUUUUAAAAUUGAGUUUAUAAACACUACUUCUCCCUACAUUUUCUUUCUUUGCUAUCUACAUUCUACUUAUAAUUUUAAAAACUAAUCCAAAUCUUGAAAGUUAAAAAUAGUAACUUUCAAAAAGUUGUUUUUGGAAUUUGAAAUUUGACUAAGAAUUCAACCAUUGUAAUUAAGCAAAAUGCAAAAUAUUGUAGGACAUAUGAUAGAAAUAGACUUAAUUUUCAAAAGUAAAAAACGAAACAAAAUGAUUACCAAAUAAGACCUAAAUUUUCAUAAAAUAAACAAAUUUUAAACAUCAAAUAUCUCUAUUAUCUAUUACAAAUUUUAAACUAAAACAUCCAUGGAAGAAAAACAUUAAAAUUCCACGAAUUCUAACACUUUAACAAAAUAUGUUAUAUGUUUACUUUUUUUUUUUAGUAUAUAAGUAAUUCAGGUUAGGUUGGAGUUGGACCAACUCAACAAAAAAAUUGAUUAAAUCCAAGACCCAACCUAUUCCAACCAAAAUAAAAAGAAUUACGAAUGGGUUUGGAUAUUCUAAGGCUAAGAAGAAUGGACAUUUCAUAUUAGAGGUCGUAUGGUAUCGAACACUUGGGGGACAUGGAUUCAUCUAGAAAUGUUUGGACAUGUGUCUUAUACACAAAAUUCCGUGUUUUUUUAGAAAAAAAAUUAGACACGUCCAAACACACCCAAUUGUAGUUUUUAGCCAAGAAGGAUCGUUGCAGGGAAAAAGAGAAUUUUCAUAUGGAGGAAGGUUUUUGCUUCAAUAUAAUCGUGUUAGGAACUAAGGUAGUAUGGAAUGCUUUCUUCCCACGUUAAUUAGAAUGGGAUGACGAAUGUAGUAAUUAAGUGGCUUGGCUGGUGUGGUUCUCGAAGUACUUAAAAAUACCCACCAAAUCGCACAUACACGGGUGAAUUCUUCUUCAAUAAUUUAUUCCUAUCAAAUCACAGCCAAUUGGGAAGCAUGCACAUCCUUUUCUUACGUUGGGUGCGUAGAGAAAGAGAAGGGAAACCAAAAUGGAAUGCAAAAAAAUGUCUUUCAUGGUAUGGGUACCUUUUUGAAACACAGCCCUAAUGGCCAAAAAUAAACGUUAACAGGCAGUACACUGAGUUUAGCACUCAAAAAAUAAAGAAGCUCCCAGUAAAAGAGAACAGCAGAAAUGCUGAAGGAACGAAUUUGGAAGUGGGAAAAGUGUACCUUGUAGUAUUUAAGCAGUUGUGGUCUCUUCAACUUAAAUGUUGGAGUUAUCAAAUCCCUCUCCAUGUCAAAGGGAUAUGGUUCCAAAUGAAUUGCUUUUAAUAGCUCAAAUCCUCGAAGCUGCCAAAUAUUUUACCAGAUUAGAUAAAGAAGUAUCUGUAAACAAUAAGAUCCCAACCGAAGUUAAGUAUCUAAAAGAUACUUACAUGGUGCUUUUGACCAUUACUAUUGAGCUCAUCCAAAAUAUACUUCCUUGCUUUGAGGUUCUCACAUAAAGAUUUAAAGUCACCAGUCAUAUUAUGGUUUUGUGCCCAAUCCUCCAAGGCCUUUUGAUCGGGAACCGCCACACCCACAAGAAAUGACUCAAAACUGUUUCCAUAGACCCAAAUCUGUACACCACAGGAAUUGUUUUUUUGCCAUGAGUAAAGGAAAGAUAAAAAUUAAAAUUUUAAAAGUGCACGUACUUCCAAUAUAUAUGAGCAAAAGAAAUGUGACCAUUAGAGAAAGUAUCCAAAUAAAUAAAACUGUCAUCUAAUGUAUCUGAGUUAUGCAAGAAUCAAUUUCUCCUACCGAGGUAAUCAAAGAGCAUUGCAAGAAUAUGUUUUCAAUGUUCUCCACUGCAACAUACUCCCCCUGUGACAGCUUAAAUAUAUUCUUUUUCCGAUCAAUUAUUUUCAUCGAUCCAUCAGGCUGCCAUUCACCGAUGUCCCCUGUAAUGUGUAUACAUGUCAUUUUCUAGUAAAUAGCUAAUCGCAUUUAUAAAACAAAUGUUAAAAUGAUAAGAGUAAACCAUUGAAAUGUAUUUUAUAAUGGUGAAAACGUUAACCUUGAAAUAGGUAACAAGUUGCACACCUAGAGAAAAAUUUCUAGCCUUGCGACAUGAUUAAAUGUGAAUGACCUGGAUUUGCAUAGUGGCUACAUAUAAAAAGUAAACAAAACUUCAAAGGUUUGGGAUCAAAUGGACCGUCUCAAAUUAAGUAGAAAUUCUUUCGAAAGAUGCUAUACGGGAACAGAUGGAAUUAACCCAAAGGAGCUAUUCUGUUCUGGCAACCUUGUUAGUGGAUAGAGAGAGCUUAAAGGAGUUAAGCAAAGAAAGUUAAUAUUUUUGGUGUUCGCCAACCGAAACCUAGUGUUUCAUGUGUUCAUAAAUUCUAAAUUUUAUCAUUUUUCUAUUAUCUUCACUUUUUAAAAAAAGUUCAAAAAUGUUUAAACAAGCAUGAAGCACUACAAUCAGGUUGGCAGUUCAACAAUACUUUUCAAAACAAAUACCAAGCUUGCAUAAAUUUAAUUAAAACCCUCUCUCAAACAGAUGCAAGAUACUUGCAUUGAAGUGACAUAAUCAGUACGAAACACUUCUCUAAAAUAAAUGUGUUUAAACUGAACUUCCUGCUACAUUUGAAACUUAUUUGGCACCUUCAUUCAAUCAACCCAGUUAUGCUAAUUUUUUAUUUGAUGGUACAGAAAAUUGGAAGAAAUUAACUACUUUAAGGAUACAAUUUGCAUAGAUGAUUGCAAGAACAAAAUGGAUAUGAAAACGUAUAUGAAAAUGAGAGAAAUAGAGAAAAAGGAAAAAUUAUGUAGAGAAACUUCCUCCCUUUCGAUCCCAUCUAAUUAUAGUACAGAUUCUAGCAUGUAGUUUUACCUGUAUGAAACCAUCCGUCAAUAAGAACUUCGCCAGUUAGAUCUUGCCGUUUAUGGUAUCCAGAGAACAAGGUACUUCCCCUUAAGCAAAUCUCUCCACGGGGUGUGGUGGCCAGUGCAUCAUACCCCAUAUCAGGAACUGACUCUAGCCUUGCUUCAAUUGUAGUAACUGGAACUCCAACCGUUCCCAUCAUGGUGAAAACAUUGGCUAUGGAUGUAAAACAUCCACCACAACUUUCUGUAAGGCCUAAAAUUGUAAUACGAUACAAGCUCAUUAAAAGAAUUAUUAAUACAUUGUGUUCUUUUCAAAGUUUGAAAUUUUUGCUUCAAUUCCUCCCAAAAAGAGAUAAGAGAGUUUCUCCUUUUUCUUUCACUUAAUGAAAAUAGUCGCUUGUUAAGAAAAAAAUGCAGCUUCUUCAAGAAUGACAUUGCUCAAUGAUAACUAGCACUAAUUUUUUACCGGAGACAAAGACUUCAAUUAUAUUCAGGUGAAUCUACUCUGAUUAGGUAAAAACAAAAUAAAUAGCAUCUUGCAUACCAUAUCCUUGGCUUAGAGUUGCACAACUGGUAACCCUCAGGAACUCUUCCACAUGCCUAGGCAAAGGUGCAGCACCAGAUAAAAAAAGGCGAACUCUCCCACCAAAUGCUUCUUUUAUCUUUCAAAAUAUAACAGCACUUUAAUUAUGUAAAAGAAGCCUUACAUUUAAACGAACCAUACACAAGAUAAAUGACAAACCUUGUCAAAUACAAGCUUGUCCAAGAGAGGUGCUGCUUUUUCCUGGAGCAGACCCUUCUUCAGAUAUCCUAGCUUGCUAUUAGCACUCUGUUUGUAAGUUACACUAUAGGUGAUAAUACAGGUAAUUUAAACCAAUAUAAUAAGUACAGAAUUCAAACGUACUAAAUGUAUGCAUAAUCGAAUAACAUCUUCCGCAAACUGCCUCCAGAAGAAACUUUGUUCAGAAUACCUAUAACAAUAAAGGUUGUGGAAAUUACUUAAACCACGUAAUUUCAAAACAUUAAGUAGUAAUCAAAUUAUGUAGAUAAAACAAGAACAUGUAUUGUACCAGAAUAAAUACGAUCGUAAACUCUAGGAACUCCAGAAAAUAUUGUUGGCUUCAGUUCCUGAAUAUCAUCUAGUAAAAACCUGAUGUCCUGCAAAUUUACACAGAAACAACUACAUAAGUUCAAAACAUAAGGGCAUGAGGUCGUAAAAACAAGAACUUCAACUGAUCAAAAUUACCCCACGCCAAAACCCAAUAGAUGAACCCUUGUAGAUGCAAUAGGUCUCCAUUAUCUGAUCAUACACAUGAGCUAGUGGAAGAAAUGAGAAAUAUGAAUCUUCUUCUGUCGCCUGUAAUGUUACCAUCGUGUAAUUACUACAGUUGUCAUGCAAAAUAUGAGAAAAAUGUGAUAGAACAUUAAUCAAACUACAUCGGCACAUAGUCAUUUAAGAACUCCCACAAUUCCUUCAUCAGGUCAAAAUUUAUAGUUGGCUGCUUACCACUUUAUCUGUCAAUAAAAGUAGGUGCUCCACAGACAAGACUUCGGCCAUUACAGCUGUAUUAUUGAGGAUAACACCUUUUGGUUCCCCUGUGGUUCCACUUGUGUACAUUAUCGUGCAGAUAUCGGUUUUCUGUUUUGAAGGGAGUUCACAGUCCAAGCUUCCCUGGAGCAAAGUAAAAAGAAAAAAAAUAGAUAUGCUGCUAUGGUGCUAAUGAUAAGACAAUAAAUGGUUGAGAAAAAAACGUAUAGUACCAACUGACAGAACUCCUCCCAAGAAAAGCAAGACACUCCCAGUUCUUCAGCUUCCUUCUUAAGUACGCUCGAAACAUUGGUAAAACUGACAAUAGCUGUGAACCAAAAUGAUACACAAUGGUUAGAGUUACAAAUUACAAAACUCUAGAAAGAAAGUGUACUUCAAGUUCUAAACUAAUACAACAUACUUUUUAAUUGAUUUGAACACCUGGGAAGGCAUGAAAAAAUCUGCACAAUGAACAAAAUGGAGGGAACAUUUAGAAUUGGCCGUUAUACAUUUAUACUUCCCGCUGAAAAAAAUGGAGUUUUGUUCAAAAACCAAUUAUAUUUUUUAAAAAUUUCUGUAUCUCAUGCGCGGAAACAACAUACAUUUAAUAAAUAAUUUUUUUUAUUUUUAUAUCGUUUGCCACACCAGGCAAAAGAAAACAAACUAUGUGCAUAUUUUGGCACUUAGCACUCAAAUCCCAGGGCUCUCUAUUGUGCCUCCAUUUUCCAGUUUAAAAUACACUAACACCAAACAUAAAGUCCAUGGAACAACUUAAAUAAUUAGCAAUAUAAAAGGGGUAAGAAUGAUAAGGUUAGCAGCAUGGAGACGUACAGAAGCAAGUUUGUUUUCUUGAACAAAAGCAAUUGAAACUUCAGCGUGGUUAAUGAUGAACUCGACAGCAUUAGCACCUGUAACAGUUUGAUUGUCAAUACAGGAGCUCAAGCUACUAUUCUCUUAUUCUUAAAGUUCAAAAGAUGCCAGAAAGAAAAUGGAACCAUACCAAGCGUGUCAUACAGCGGCACAUAAGUGAUAGCUUGGCUAUUACAGGCCUGUAGGUAACAAAGGGUACAUCAAAUUCUCAAACAUCAGUGUUAAGAGCAGAGGAAAUGAGAGCACUAGCCUAUCAACUUAAACUUUCAGCAUGAUAUCAAAUUCAAAUUUUCCGUAAAUGUCAUAGAAAUAAUACUGUUCCCCCAUUUUAUAUUCAUAGUCUAAUGCUGUCCUGAUAUUUUAGCUAAGGCCCAACAGAAAAUAUAGAAAAAAAUAUUAAAAUAAUUUAGAAGCUCAACUUUUGAAUCAAAUGAUGGUUUUUACUUCAUGAGAGAGAACUUGAAAAGAAAUAACAUGAAAGGAGGGGAAAUGAGCCAACAGUCCAACAGAAUUGGCGGAUUUAGCCCACACAUUGGUCAUUGUCCCCCUAAAUCUCAACCUCAUAUACAUCGUCAAAAACACAAAAUUGCAUACCUCCAUCGAAAUUAUCCAUUCAGGGCAAUUGGAACCAUAUAUACCACAGCGAUCGCCCUAUAAAACCCAAAAAAGGAACCAGUAACAGCAGGAAAAAACAUAAUUCCACUAAGCAUAGUUCCAAUUUAGAACAAUAAUAGAAAAGUAAGAACUUCUAAACACAUCCACUUCACUGAACAACACUUGGACUUACAGAAUUAACCCCACGCUUUCUAAUUGCAGAUCCCAUCCUGAUUGCAGCAUCAUAUGCUUCUUGAUAUGUGAGCCAUACAUAGGAACCCGCCUGCAAAGUUCAAUAAAAAAAAAAAAAAAACAGUUCCAAUAACUCGAUUUCAGCUUUUAGAUUUGAUAUUUGAUUUUCAUCAAGACUCAGAGUUGGCUGGAAAUUGUUACCUUAGAGUCGCCGUUGGUUUGCCGACGACCGAGCAUUGGGUUGCCUGGAUUCCUCUUGACGGAAUCACUGCAAGACACAAAAUCAUAUUGUUGGGCGAUCAAAAAUUCAUAUCAUGGCUAGGAAAUGCGAUCACUUCCUCAAAUGGUGCGUUUGAUUUUAAUCAACUACAGAAUCCAAAUUUGUGUGCACUUAGCACUGAUACUGAUACUGAUACUAAUACUAAUAGUCACUCAUAAACAUUAACUACCCUCACCCUCUCUCUCUAUCUAUUGUUAAUAGAUAUAUAUUCCCACUAAUACAUCCAAGUCUACUAUCAUUUAUUCUCCUAAUACACAAUUAAAUUUUGUUAUAUUUAUAUUUAUCUUUUAAAAUUAUUAUUCUUCUAAUUCUUUUAAUUUGAUUAAUUAAUUAUUAAACAUCACAUUCAAGAUAUGGCUACAAUGUUUUAAAGUUUAGAAAUACAAAUUGAAAUAUAACUCAAAUCUUUUACCAUUUUGGAACUUUUAACACAAAAAUCUACCUUUUAAAUCUGCCAUCAAACUAAAUCUAAAUAAAAAAAACAAAACUAUAAUACUUAAUUAAGUCCAUGAAGGAAAAAAAAGGCCACAACAUGAAACUGUAAUUGUAGACUGAAUUGGAUGUAGUUACUUUUUCAUAUGAAAAUGUCCAAAGAAAAGAAAUGGGAAACCUGAAGAAUUGCCAUGGAGAUUGAAGUUCAUCAGGCAAUUGCAGAAGUCCAUCUUUGGCGUAGAUGCUCCGGUAGACUGGCCCUGCGGAUGGCCUUCCGCCGCUCUGGGGUGUGUCCGCUUCGACGACCACCGUGUACGAUGUCGACAUUGUGAUGAAGAAAGGCGCUGUGUGCUGCAAAAUUGAUGAAAUGGUUUUGAAGAGGUAGCAGUGACUUUAAUACAAUUUGAUCUUUUAAACACACAAGAGAUAUGGGGGUGUUGGGAAGGUUAUUGGUUGGUUGAGCUCAGCUAAAUGCAUUAAAUUCUCAGCAAUACUACACCACCUUUGUCCUCAUACCCUUCAUACUAUUUUCUACAAUCUCUUAUUAAUUUCAUAUCUUUCUUACUUUAAUUAAAUACUUUAUAAGUUACCUUUUACAUAUCAAUUAUUCCAACACUUCCUUUCUUUUUCAAUAUUUGAUAAAUUGAUCGUAGAUUUGGAAUUUGUAUCCAAUUGUUAGUAAAGAAGAGAUGUCCAUUGUAAACAAGGAAAAUAAAUAUAUAUUAUGUUUACUACAUAAAGUGAUAUUCUACCCCUUAUUGUAAGCACACACUUUUAGGUUACUAUACACUUUUAAGUUUAUUUGUUGCAAACUAAAACCAUCUACAAGGUUUUCCUUUUUUUAAAAGAGAAGUUGCAUUAUCCUUAGUUUAUGAGAGAGAUGGAUAGUUGGUCAUUCAUAACUAAUAAACAAAAUUCAUUUGAAAUCUCAUCACUCAAAAAUCAAAAUCAUAAACUUUCAAACACAUUAUAAAAAAAGGACAUAAAAGGCAAAUUGUCAACUUCAAGAUCUCUUUAACGUAUUAUAAAAAUAACUAAGGCCAAAUUGUAAAAAUUUGCCUUUAAAAUACGAUGGUAGUUGUAACUAUAUUUCUAAACUUUCACUGAUAAAAUUUAUCCAAAUUUUAAAAUCUUCCUCCUAAACUUAUGUAUCUGUCUUGAUUAUAUAAGUUUUAAAUAUUCAAAUUUUAUUACUGGUAAGUUGAGUUUUCCAGUAUUAUUAUAAACUUGACAGACUAGUUUGAAGCCUCUUAAAGAAGAGUUGAUAUUGGCUCCUAAUUGGAAAAGAAGAAAAAAGAAAAGGUGGAGUGGGUAAUAGAGUAAGUGUGACAUUAAAUAUAGGUAGAUAUGAUGGUAAAGCGUUGAAAAAUGGGAAUCCCCAAAACCAAUCCCAACUAAUAUAUAAUGUGCAUAUAUUAAUUAACUUCAUCCUUUCCAGCCUCCCCUUUAAUGAACCAUGCCAAACAAAUAUAAAUAUAUAUAUAUAUACACAUACAAAAUUUAAAGCACAUCUCAGUUUUUUUAUCUUCAUUAAAAAGAGACAAAGGUAAUGUUUUUUCAGUAAAGUUCUUUUUUUCUUCUAAACCAACUAAAAGCUUAUAAAGUAGAGGGUAAACAUAAGUUUACGUCCCAUUUAAUGACAACAAAUUUGCACUGCCAACUUUGGUGGCCGCCUCAUUUUCCAUCUAAUGCAAAACCUUGAGUUUUUUUUAGUUUGAUAAUUGAUACAUCUACUUCCUUUCUAUUCUAUUGUAGUAAGCCGUUUAUGUAAACUAAAAUUUUGUAAAUGUUGUCUAACAAGAGACACGAUGCUUUUUAAAACUACGAUACUUUUCUAAUAAGUCUUCAAAUGUUUAGAAAUUUGUAAUGUUUAGGAGAAGAAGAAACACCAUUUAUUUUUAAAUUAUUGAUCUAUUGUUCCAUCGAAUUUUUAAUCUUGCUUUUUAAUAUAGAAGCUAAAUCAUUAUAUAAAAAUCUUAUAAAUUGAAAAGUAUGGAGACUAAACCCUAAUACGUUCAAAUUCUAAAACCAAUAAAGUAUAUACAAGGUGUGAUUUAGUUUAUAUUUUUAAAUCUUUAGAAAAAUAACUAUUUUUAUCCUCUCUUUUUUUCUCUUGUAAGCCAUUGCUGUCAAAUUAUAAUAACAAAUAGUUGAUUUGAUUUUGAUUAUAUAUUAGGAGUAUUUAACAAUAAAAUAAGGAAGACACUUUUUAAUAGUCAAUUUACUAAAAUGGAUCUUAAUUGACCAAAAAUAAAAUAAGCCUAAAUGUAAGAACAAAAGUGAUUUUGUUUUCAAUUUCAACCCUUAAAUCUUUGGGAGGGCUUAGGGUUUUCUUUUUUUCUCACUAAACUAUAUUUUAAUUGAAGUAAAAAUUUAAACAAAAAUAUUAAAUGAUGUAAUUGAUCUAACAUAAAAUAUAUAUUUCCUUCCUUAAACUACUUGUGAAAGAUCAAACAAGUUAAUUAAUAUUCCUAAACUUUUUCGUUCUACACUACAUUGUUUUUUUAUCGAGACCGACAAGAUUUAAAUCUCUAUAAUCUAUAUUUACUUGAAGAAUUUGAAAACGAAAUAGUUUGAUGAGAAGUAUCUAAAAUGUUUUGAAAAUAUUAGUGGUUAUAAAUAAGUUUGAUAGUUCAAGUUAACAAAUUGGCGAUUCAUUUAACUUUAGUUUAACACGUUGUCAUUUUGACUAAAGACCGGAAAGUCUAAUCAAUUGCCUUGUAUAAGUUAGAGACUUAAUUGAUAUAUAAAAUUACAAAUCUAUGUUAUGUUUAUCCGAACGAAUCAUAAUUGAGUAAAAAUCUAAGAUUUUAAUUAGUAUUAUUAAUUUACCGUUUAUCAAUUUAAAAACGCAAUUUGUUUACGCUAUAGAUUUGUUUUAGUGGACUCGACGCGUAAGUAUUUAUUUUUGCAUUGUUUAUAUAAAUAUGUGUUUUAAUUAUAAUAUAUAGUAGUUUGAAAGGGAAGGGACUUUAUAUUGUUGGACAAUCAUUUUACUAGAAGUUAGGUGUUUUAUCCAAAGCAACAGUGAUUUUGGUCAAAGUUAAUUUGUCUUUCUCAACAAAAAAAAAAAAAAAUGGAAAAUUAACUUUUUUUUAAAGAAAAAAAAAAAAGCAAAAGCUACUAAAAUACAAAUCUAUAAAUAUUCUUUUUUCUAGACAAGGUAAAAUUGGACAAAAGGCCAAACUUUUUUCUCAUGAUCUCUCUCAUCAAUGUGAUUGUAAAUAACUAUACCCUAAAACAAAUAUUGGUAACAUCCAAACUCUUGUUUGAAACAUUCCUCUACUAUUCUUGAUAGAUCAUAUUCUAAAAAUACUACAUAUCGUGGUCUUUAACAAAAUGAUUAUUAAAAAUGUGAAUAGAGUUUCAUGUCUUCCAUAAAUUUACUGUUCGAUAUUAUAUAUUUAUAAAUCAUAAAAUAUAUUUUUUUAAAAUAAAAAUAAUUUACAUGAUAUACUUAAUUUUAAACUUUUGACUUUAAAUUAUAUUAAUUCCAAUUUUAUAUCUAGUAGUGUUGUAAAAUGUUGAAUGGAUCAAGUAUCUAUUGCGAAAAGACACAAACUGAAGGUUUAGUAAUUCACUGAACGCUUUUUAAAGUCUAUCAAUCAAAUAGACACAAAUCUAAACGUUUUUAAAAUAACAUUUAAAUAUGGAAUAAGUAUAAAUAAUAAACAAUACCAUACCAACAUUUUGUAUAACAUAAUGAAAAACAAUAGCAAACAAUAAAGUGAACAAUUAAAUGUUAUUGACCAUAACUCGUUAAUAAUUGACGUGCACAUCAAAUCCUCAUACCAAUUACUCAUUGUACUAAAAACAAUAAUAAUUAACCUCCAGUGAGCACGUCUAUUUUUCUUUAUUUUUGGUUUCUUUCUUUUUCUUUUUUUAUGUUUAUUUUUGGUUUCUUUCUUUUUCUUUUUUUAUGUUUAUUUUUGGUUUCUUUCUUUUUCUUUUUUUAUGUUUGAAAAUGUUACAAUUUUAUCUUAAGUUAUUUACGUUAAUUUUCUAUUAAUUAACUUAAAAUAAUGAUUAAAAUUAAAUUGAAUUUCAUUAAUUAUCUAUUGAAUUAAAAACAAUGGAACAAUCAAUAUAUAUCUACAUCAUCAUGAUUGUUUUAGUUUAUUAAAGAAAAAUAAAAGUGUAAAAUUAGAAAAGGUUAUAAACCAAAUAAAAAGUAAACUCAUUGUAUGAGAGAAGGAAUGAAAAUAAAAGUAAGAAUUAAGAAAUUGAUGGGUAGAAAAUGGAAGAUUAGAGGAUAUAAAAAGAGAUUUGAGAAAGAGAGGGAGAGGGAGAGGGGAAAACAACAAUAAAUUGGUAACAAUAAUGCAGCUACCAAAUAUUGAUGUAUAAUAAAUGAGGGAUCAUUAAUUAGUUUCACCUUAUAAUUUUAUAUUUAGUAACAAAUUUAAUGCUAGAUCUUCUUGCAUCACCCAACUGGCCCCUACCACAAUUAUUUUUCUAUAUUUUUCUUUUUUUUACUUUUCUUUUUUUUCAAAAAAAUUAUUGUUGUUGUUUUACAUUUACCACCCUUUGUUCUAAUAAAAAUAUUCAAAACUUUAUUUUUAAAAAAAUAAUUUUAGAUUGGUGUAUAUAUGUUUAUUGGGUCAAUUGGUUAGAACUCAAGGUAGGGUUAGGACUUCUACUUUGGGAUGUAGAUUUCCCUAAGGUCGCCUAGUGGUUUUUCUUCGACUUGAACUUGUCUACACGCUAUCGACCUUAAUUAGCCUCGGACAACCUUGAACAAGUCUUUUAAGUUUCAAAGUAUUAUAAGUUUCAAAAAAUUGUUAGGAUAUUGAUACAGAUUUGGUACACGAUCUUGUACCAAAUCUAUAAGAGAUCGUAUAUCAAAUAUAAAAGAUUUUGGUACCAAGAUCAUUUAGAAGAAUUGCAUGCAUGUGACCGAUUAAUCGCGUAUUAACCGUAACAUUUUUUGUAUUUUCAUUAUGGGCCUAUAGGUUUUUUCUGUUUUUGAAAUUAUUCUAUAAAAUGUAAAUAUUUUUACCGGUAUGUAUUUACAAAUAUAGAAAAAUGAUAAAAAAAUAUAUAUAUAUUUUAUCUAUAACGCCCGAGACUAGGAGGAAGACAUGAUUGAACCGAUAUACCAUCUAAAUGAAAGAGAUUAUGAGGACAUGAAAGUCAUGUUAAGAAAAAGAAUUAAAAGUUAAUACAUGUACCAACAAAGUGCACAUUUCUUUUCGGUGACUCGAUUAUAGGAACUCCAAAGUAAUUUUUCUAAGAUUACACCAUCUUGUUGUCAUUUUGUUAUAUUUAAAAAAUAAUUUUAGGAUUAUGUUAUUUAAAAUAAUUAGGAAGUAAAAUUUUAAAUUUGAUUUGUAAUAGUGAUGAAAAAUAGUUAAAGUUGAUAAGUUAGCUCUGAGUUAAUUGAUAAAUACUAAUACUAAAAACAAAGAUAGAGUAUUUAAGGAAAGAUUGAGAUUAUAAGGUAGACACCAAAUUAAAAUAAAACGCAAAUUUAAGAUGGUAACAUUUGGAAACUAAGAAUUAAAAAUAGAAACCAAGUACAAAAUUUAAACGCCAAACUUGUAAAUAAAGACUAAACCUAAAACUAAAAUUAAAAGGCCAAAAACAUAUUUUCUCCCCUCCCCCUAAAAUUAUAGAUCAUAUAGGGACAAUAUGGCUACUUAGUCCAUACAUUAAAAAUCAAAAUUAUACAUAAUAAAUUCAGUCAAACCCACUAAUAUCAACAACAACGUCCCUUUUUUUGACCAUCAUAAUUAGGUUUAUGUUAUAUCAUUCAAACUCAGUCAAAUUAAAUUAAUAAAGCAUUAACCCACACAUUCACUAAAACCUAAGUUUGAAACAUUUUUCAAAAUCCAUAAUAUUUCUCAAUUUUAGAAAGAGUUUUAACAUUUUAUUUCACAUCCAAUUCUGUAUCAAAUGAAUAUUCUAUUAGAAGAAAACAUAAAUUUUAGGAGUCUCCAUUGUAAAAAUAUAUUGUUUUUAUUUAUCAAUUCAUAUUUAUUCCUUGUAUUUUUAAUAUCUAUCAAUUGAAAUGAGAAUUAAAUUGAAAUCCCUUUAGAUACAAAAUUGUUCUUCUUCCAUCACGUGAAUGUGAACUAUGGAUGUUUACAUUUGUGUGUCAAUCUCUCCUUUUGUUGGAAGGUUAAGAGUCCUCAAAAUGUUAAAUGAGAGAUUUAGAGUUCCUCCAAUGAGUAUGAUUGUGACUGUCUACUAUCCAUUACUUUCCUUCCAUUUCUAAUCUUAUACUUGGAAAUUGGGUUUGCAAAAGUAGCCUCUAAGAAUUUGAAAUUGAAGGACCAAAAGUAAAUGGCAAGAGUAAAGAGGGACCAAUUAGCAAAAUAAAAAAAAAAAAGAGUGAAGAAGUAGAAAAAAAUGUUGCAUUAAAUUUGUUAGAGUAGGGAUUUAACCUCAUAUGAGCAGUGGUUCAUCGAUUAAAGUUUAAGAGAGAGAGAGAGAGAGAGAGAGAGCGAGAGAGAGGGAGAGAGAGUGUGUAUUCUCUCUCGUCAAUUUUUCAUUAAAUGCUUCUCCCCACCUCCCAUUAAUGACCUCUACAAAAUUUGCCAGACAUCUCUUCAUUAAAACCCCCCACCACCAUUCUCUCUCUCCACCACCACCGCCGCCGCUUCUCUCUCCUUCCCUCCUCCCUAUCUCCCACCCUCCAUUUCCCUCUCUCAUCAUAGCCGCACACGUGUCCUCGUUUUUUCAUUUCUUUUCCUCCUUUCUCCUCUCCUCUCAUCUUCUAUUGAAUCUCUCCGGUGAUAAUAACGCCUCGGGAUCUCCGCAUCUCAACCGGCUCGACGAAAACGCCGCUGCUCCUCCUCCGCCUGUUACUGACGAUCGGAGAAACAUUGGACUCGUCAUUGACUUACUCCGUCUCGAUGAACCUCCACCUACGCCGUUGGAGAAUCUCCAGCUUGAUUCCGAUAACGGAAAGAAUCCUCCUCUUCGUCUGAAGAACGGGGACUUCAUACCUCUGUAGUAUCGGAAUGAGAAUACUCUCGCUUUCGGUAGAGAUCCGAAUGGUGACGGCCGUUUGCUCCAGAAGCUUCCACGACGGUACCUCCAUGGAGACGUGGUUGCUGGUUCUAGAAUCAUUCUCUCCGACGCUAAGCUCCGUUCGAAUCCGAAUGAAUACGAUCGUUUCAACAAAAAAUCUCUUCCGUUCAUUUGAUCCUCCACUGAAUUACUAUUUCGUGGCUCAUCAAUACAAGGCGUGAUCUCUGAUUCCGUUGCGUGGUAAGAAUCUCGAUUAGGUAUAGGAGGACCUUCAGCUAACGGUUCCAAUAUGAUGCUUCGUAAGAUGGUAUCGUCUAAGCUUGGCCGGAUUCUAGCUGCCAUAACCGGCGUGAAUGGAGAUUCCGGCCUAAAAACCACCGCGCGACAGAGAGGACAGUUCGCGUGUGAUCUAAGCCAUACAUCAAUACAAUCAACAUGAAAGGCGUGCGAACAAAUCGGUAGCGUUCUAACGUAAUCAUCGUCUUCAAAUUCCAAAAGACAAACGGCGCACUCACGGUCACGGCUUUUGGCAGUGUAGACGGAAAGCGGAAUCGUUUUGAUUACAGAUUCGUCCAGACCGUACGGAGAGAAUACAUGGAAGGCAUCUGUAGUAGGUUCGAAGAAAGGCGAAUCGUAAGGGAGUGAAUCCAAGUCGCCGCCAGAGGAGGACGGGAUGUAAGAUCGGGCAGCAAGUCGACGACGGCGGCGCCACCUGCGCCAGCGACGGCGGUGGAGACGGAGGAGAUGGAGAAUGGGAGGGAUGAGAUGGCGAGAGAUUAGGCGAGAGUAAGUGACGAUGAGAAAGGCAGUAGCGAUGACGACAACCAUGGCUAUUAGAGGGGGACUGAAGUCGACUGGGAGCUUCGCCGGCUGUAAGGAUGAAGGAGGAGGGAAAUUGGCGGCGGCGGCGGAGGAGGAGGAGGAGGAGGAGGAGGUGGAAGGAGAAGGAGAGGGAGAGGGAGAAGGAGAAGGAGAAGGAGAAGGAGAAGGGGAGGUCGGCAUGGAGGUGGUGCAACGGCGGAGAGGGAGGGGGAGAGAGAGAGAUUUGUAUGAAGAGAGAAGAAGGGUUUAAUGGAAGAAGAAGAGAAGAGAGGUUUGACUCUUUGUUAGGUCCUCCAUGCGAUUUGUCGACGAGGACAUUGGAUGAAUGACACGUCACUAUUCACAAAUUUAAAGCCCCUUCUUGAGUUUUCAUCUUGUGCGGUGCGGACUAUGACAUUCCAAUUCUUCUAUAAAGUCUAUUGCCACCUCAGCAUCCGUGAGGCCCUACUCUUAUGUUUUUAAUAACAUAUAUACAUUAGUCAUUAACAUUAGAUAUAUAGUGUUUUACAUUUCCUUUAGUUUAUGAUGUAUGAAGUAGGAGAAUUGUGGUUUUAAUUUGCGAAAUGAAAUAGUAUGGGAUAAGAAAAGAAAAGAAAAGAAAAGAAGAUGAUUGGGAAAGGAGGGGGGGGGGUGUAAGUGAGGGAGAGAGGAAGAGAAAGUAAAAAAGUGGUGGCCCACAGAAGAGGGGAGCAGAGAUCUUCCAUGAAAUUUGAUGCCAAAAAGCAAAACCCAUUCAUACGUAAAACAAAACACCAUCCAUCCAAAUAUCUAUAAUAUAAAAUAUCCAAAUAUAUUAUUAAUAAUAAUAAUUGGAUUGGUGAGUUAAGAAAGAAAAAAGAAAAGACGAAGAAGAAGAUAAUAAAAUGGAUUUAUAAGAACCAAUGAUAAUGGAGAGACUAUGUUGAAAGGGCCAUGGUUUAAUUAGAGUUUGUGGAACAUAUCUACCUACAAAGUCAAAAAAAAUUUAUCAUUUCUUUUCUCUUUUUUCAAAAGCUGAUUUUGAUGUGAACCCUACCCUUUUUCUUUCUUUUUUUUUUUUUUUUUUCAUAUAAUGGAGCACUAAAAUUAUGUUGGACCCAAUCCAAUUCCCUAUCACUACAUAUCAUUGAAUAAUAGUUAGUACACACUAUGGAACAAUAACAUAUAUAUAUAUUUAAAACUUCGUUUAAAUCUACAAAUUAAACUUAACCAAACUCAAAUCUCAAAUCUCAAAUCUCAAGAAAAAAAGUUAUAAUAUUUUUGUUUUGAAAUUAUUUAUAACAUUAUUCAAAGGUUUUGCAUGACUAUGAGAAAGUAGAAUAAAACAUUUUUUCUUCAAUCUCUUUCCAUCAACCAAGUUUUAAUGAAUGUCUUUAUCAAGAAGCAGAGACAUGGCUUCAUUUCCAUCUGAGUUUAUAGUAAAAACAAUGCUAACUCUUUUGGCUUCUUUUCAUUGUGAAUACAAAUAAAUGAUUUUGUAGCUUUUGGUUUUUUCUAGAAAAAAGUAGAAAUGUUAGAGAAAAAAUUGGUAGAUAUAACUAAUGUUUAUAUUAAUAUUUAGUUGUUAAGUUUCAAAUUCUACAUUUUAAACCUUCAACUCACUAACUAUUUACUCUUUAUUUUGUUUAUAUUUCGUAAAUACUUUUAACAAUUCUGUCAAUAAUUUUUUUAUAUAAACAUAUUUGUAAUAACUAUAAAUAAUUAAGUUUUACUAUUUCUAUUACUAUUAAAAUUAAAACCAUAUGUAUAUGAGUUUGAUUUUAAAAUCUUGGAAGAGAUUGUUUGAAUCACUAAAAUUUGUUUCAUACUAAAUAUUUGGAAUUUGAAUUCGUGAGACAAUUAAUGUUUGUAUUUAAUUUAGGUAUCAAUUAAUUUUUGGAUGUUAUAAUAUAUUCGUUUGAUUUAUCAAUUUUACAUAUAUUUAAUUUUAAAAUAAGUAAUUAAUUCCACGUGGAGAACAUUUAAUGCAGUCUUAAAAAAUUAGAGUUAUUUAAUACAUUGUUGUAUUAUAUUACGUUACCCUUAGAAUAAAAAUAAUUGAGUAUCUUCAUAUUGAACAAUUCAUUUACUCAAAGGAAUUUAUUAAAUAUAAUAUUAACCAUUAACAAUAACUUUUUUAUUAGAUAGUUAAGGAUGACGUGUUAGUUGAUGCAUAUUGAGUUUGAAUAAUACAUAAAUAUUUAAUAAACAAAACUAUUAUAAAUGACAUACAAAAUAUUUAUACAAUACGAAAUUUUAGAUAUAUUAAUGAUAGAAAAUGAUAUGUAACAAUCAUUUUGAUAAACACUCCACUUAAAUUGCUUCUAGGCUUAGGAAAAAUGGUGCAUUCGAGUCUGUGUUAUGAGGUUCCAAACCUUGCUUUGUCUAUGAGUAAUAGUUUUAAAAUUUUACUAAUUCUUUAAAAUAUGUUAUGACUCAAUUUACUAGAUUUAAAAAUGCUCAUGUUAAUAAUUAAUUAAAUUAAUAGUAAUGAUUAAUUGAUAAUAGUAUAUUAGUGUUGGAUAUUCGGUAUAAAUAUCUAACUAAUUGUAUGAUGGUAUUAAAAACCAUGUCAAAGAGGUUUUGAAAAUUUUCUAAUAUUAGAUUCUAUGUAACAAACCAAGAUAUUAAAUAGAUAUUAAAUACAUAUUUAAAAUUUCAUGACAAAACCAUCCAAAC
rnacentral:lncRNA from 1 species